CUCCUCCGCCUUACUACUACAAAUCUCCGCCUCCGCCUCCUCCCUACAAGUAUGAAUCGCCGCCUCCGCCUCCCUACAAGUACGAGUCGCCGCCUCCACCACCGUACUACUACAAAUCACCUCCGCCGCCCCCAUACAAGUAUGAAUCGCCGCCGCCACCACCAUACAAGUAUGAAUCGCCGCCGCCACCACCAUACAAGUAUGAAUCGCCUCCUCCACCACCAUAUAAGUACGAAUCGCCACCGCCACCACCAUACAAGUACGAGUCGCCUCCUCCACCUCCGUACAAGUAUGAAUCGCCUCCUCCCCCACCAUACUACUACAAAUCACCACCACCACCUCCUUACAAGUAUGAAUCUCCCCCUCCACCUCCAUAUUACUACAAAUCUCCACCCCCGCCACCACCUUACUACUACAAAUCACCACCACCACCUUCUCCUGUCUACAAAUAUAAAUCUCCACCACCACCACCUUACAAGUACGAAUCUCCUCCUCCACCUCCAUACUAUUACAAGUCUCCACCACCACCGCCGUAUUACUACAAGUCUCCACCACCACCACCUCCAGUUUACAAAUACAAAUCUCCUCCUCCGCCACCAUAUUACUACAAAUCACCACCUCCUCCAUCACCAGUAUAUUACUACAAAUCUCCUCCUCCACCAGCGUAUUACUACAAAUCUCCCCCACCGCCUGUCUACUAUUACAAAUCCCCGCCACCUCCAGCUUACCACUACCAAUCGCCACCCCCACCAAGUUACAAGCUGGUAGUGGUCACGGGCAAGGUCUAUUGCAACAGAUGCUGGAACACCACAAGCAGAUACCUUCAGGCAUCACCACAUGGGUCUGCUAGGUACAUUCUCAAUUGCAUUGUAUUCGAUAUUGUUCUCCUCACUCAUUUCCUCUUGAUACUGUGUGCAAUAAUGCAGGUGGCAAAGUGAAGAUCACAUGUGGCGAAUCUUACUACUACGGCUACACCAACAAGCAUGGAAUCUUUAGAAUUGAGCUCCCGCACCAAUCCUGGGAAGAAGCAAGCAGCUGCAAGGCCAAGAUUAUCAAGAGCAGCUACAUCAAGUCGUCAUGCAAUGUCAUCACGGACUACAGGUCUGGUGCAACAGGGGCCAAGCUCAAGUUCAAAUCGAAAACAGAGAAGGAGCUCGUCUUGACAGCCGGUCCUUUCAUCUAUGCAACUCCAGAGCCAUCGUCAGUCUGCUUCUACACAUCACCUCCCUAUGAGUACAAGUCACCUCCGCCACCAACACCGGUCUACCAUUACGCCUCUCCGCCACCUCCGGUCUACUACUACAAAUCGCCACCUCCUCCUUCACCGGUUUACUACUACAAAUCCCCUCCUCCUCCUUCGCCGGUCUACUAUUACAAAUCCCCGCCUCCACCACCAUACUAUUACAAGUCCCCACCUCCACCUCCGCCUAAGUAUUACUACAAGUCGCCCCCACCACCGUCUCCAUACUAUUACAAAUCCCCGCCCCCUCCACCGUACUAUUACAAAUCCCCACCACCACCUCCCUACAAAUACGAAUCGCCGCCGCCUCCUCCUUACAAAUACGAGUCCCCACCUCCACCACCUUACUAUUACAAGUCCCCACCACCACCUCCAUACAAAUAUGAAUCCCCGCCACCUCCAGUCUACAAAUAUGAGUCUCCGCCACCCCCAGUUUACAAAUACAAGUCGCCACCACCACCAUACAAGUACGAGUCACCACCACCACCUCCAUACAAGUAUGAAUCCCCGCCACCUCCACCUUAUUACUACAAGUCCCCUCCACCACCACCAUACAAGUACGAGUCGCCACCACCUCCUCCGUACAAGUAUGAAUCUCCACCACCACCAGUUUACAAAUACAAGUCACCUCCGCCGCCACCUUAUUACUACAAAUCCCCACCGCCACCUCCAUACAAGUACGAGUCUCCACCUCCUCCUCCGUACAAGUAUGAAUCUCCACCACCACCACCUUAUUACUACAAAUCCCCCCCGCCACCUCCAUACAAGUACGAGUCACCGCCUCCUCCUCCGUACAAGUAUGAAUCUCCACCACCGCCAGUUUACAAAUACAAGUCACCCCCGCCACCACCUUAUUACUACAAAUCCCCGCCACCACCUCCAUACAAGUACGAGUCUCCACCUCCUCCUCCGUACAAGUAUGAAUCUCCACCACCACCUCCUUAUUACUACAAAUCCCCGCCGCCACCUCCCUACAAGUAUGAAUCCCCGCCACCACCUCCCUACAAAUACGAGUCACCUCCACCACCACCUUACUAUUACAAAUCUCCUCCACCGCCUCCAUACAAGUAUGAGUCGCCACCACCACCAGUCUACAAAUACGAGUCUCCGCCACCCCCAGUUUACAAAUACAAGUCGCCCCCUCCACCUUAUUACUACAAGUCUCCGCCACCCCCGCCAUACAAAUAUGAAUCCCCACCUCCACCUCCCUACAAGUAUGAAUCGCCUCCUCCUCCACCUUACUACUACAAGUCCCCUCCACCACCUCCCUACAAAUAUGAAUCCCCGCCACCACCUCCCUAUAAAUACGAGUCACCACCACCACCACCUUACUAUUACAAAUCUCCUCCACCGCCUCCAUACAAGUAUGAGUCGCCACCACCACCUCCCUACAAAUACGAGUCACCACCACCACCACCUUACAAGUAUGAAUCCCCACCUCCACCUCCGUACAAGUAUGAAUCACCUCCACCGCCUCCAUACAAGUAUGAAUCCCCUCCUCCACCUCCCUACAAAUACGAGUCACCACCCCCACCACCUUAUUACUACAAAUCGCCUCCGCCACCGGAGUAUCAAUCACCUCCUUACGUGUAUAAAUCUCCACCUCCACCCUCGUACUAGGAGCUAAGGAGCAUUUGAUUUUCAGGUGAGAAAUCUAUAGAACCACAGUUCCUAGUUUUAACAAGUUUUCAAAUUCAUCAGGUUGUAAGAAGAGGACGUCGAAGUAGAUACGGAUGUGUAGAUUGGGAUCUCGUUGGCUUUGAGUAGCAAUUUGUUUCCACCAUCGAAGUCUUCUCUCCGCAAUCUUCUCAAGGCGCUCACAAAGCGCUCAGGGGCAGUUUUGAAGUGCAGCGGGACCCCUGCAAAAUAAGCACAGGCUUGUUGAGGAAGUUUGAGAGCUUUUGUUGGUUGCCAAUAAACACAGGGAAUUAGCGCAUAUGUGCGCCCUCCUGGCUUCCAGUUGUGAACGAUUCUGAAGUAAAUAAUUUGAUUCUGCGACUAGAAAGCAUGCUGGACCAUUCUGGAAGUGUCUCCAGGACUGCCAAAAGGCUAAAUCCAAGAUUUUCAAAAGGAUCCGUCUUUCUUCUAAGAAGAUCGAUCUUCUUAGAAGAUCUUGACGUCGCAAGCAAGACCUGAGAUCAAGGUUCACAAUGUAGGAGUCGAUUGCGGGCAUUGAAUGAACGAAAGGAAAUCCUGGCCAGUCUCUCCUUUUCUAGCUCGACACCCGGCAAUCCAGAAGAAAAGGCUGCUCGAUCGUAUUUUCCAUACGAGGACUUUUAUGCCGCAUUGAUCGUUGCUGCUCACCACUUUGACAAUGAAAGGUUUGAAACUCAAGACUAGUUCCUGUGUAGAAAAUGCCAAAAGAAAAUCCACAUCAUAGAAAUGUAAAAAAUGCCAAAAGAAAACCACAUCAUAGAAAUGAGCUCGUGGCCAAAAGAAAUGGAGAUGAGGGGCAUCGAUCCCCUUACCUAUCGCAUGCGAAGCGAUCGCUCUACCAUCUGAGCUACAUCCCCGUUUGAUCUUACCAGCCGCUGAUACCAGGCAUAUUCUCCGAUCGCCGACUUCCUUGCAGGUUCCAAUGGGCGGAAAAGAACACUUCUCGAGGGAGACAUGGAAGCCUGGAAUCGCAAAGGAGAGGGUAGGGUUCCUUGCUUUUUUCGCCCACCAGGUAGCUAUCUCUAAUUCUGCCAAGGAUGCCUAGAAGAAAGCUUGUGGAGAUCGAUGUCACGUCGGAUACGGUGUGCCCCUGGUGCUACAUCGGGAAGAAGAACUUGGAGCGGGCAAUCGAGGCCUCGGCAGACGAAUACGACUUCGAGGUAACUGGUUGGAUUCAUUCCUCCUCUCGAGUCUUAGAACGCUUCGAUCCAAUCACGCAGGUUCGAUGGCGUCCCUACUUGCUGAAUCCCAGCGCCCCCGUCGAGGGUGUUGAUAAGCUUGCUUAUUACAAGUCCAAGUUUGGAGAAGGUCGAUUUUCUUCUAUCGUGGGCCGAUUGAGCAAGGUUUUUUUUACUGUGAUGAUCUAGCAAAUGCUUAUUAGUAAGUCUAAGAUGAUAAAUUGGUUCUCAGGUGUUUGAGGAUGUUGGACUCGAAAUCAACUUUGGCGGCCUCACGUAAAGAUCAUCACGCUUUAAUCUUUGUGUGUGUGUUAACUUUGUGGGAUUUCCACAGGGGAAACACUCUGGACAGCCACAGGCUUAUCGAACUGGCUGGACGUCAAGGCUAUGACAAGCAGAACGCGCUUGUCGAGGAGCUCUUCCUCAACUAUUUGACUCAAGAGAAAUACAUCGGUGACAGGUUUCUCUUCUUCUCCCUCGGCGAAGAUUUGUGAGAUCUCGGUUGAGCUGACAUGGUCUCGUUUGAUCAGGCAAGUUCUGGUGGAUGCCGCGGACAAAGUUGGAGUCACGGGGGCCAGCGAGUUUCUCGCUGAUCCUAAUGCCGGCCUCAAGGAGGUUUGUUUGUUUCUUUUAUCUCCAAGGCUUCAGCGUCGCGAUGUUCUACUGUUGCGCAGGUCCUGGAACAACUCAAAAAAUAUGGCACUGGAGUGAAUGGUGUCCCGCAUUUUCUAGUAAGCACAACUCUAAACUUUGAUGGUGAUCACUAAACUUUCGUCGUCCUCUACAGGUGAAUGGCAAGUAUCAACUCUCUGGCGCCCAGCCACCCAGCUCCUUUAUCGAAGUUUUCAAGAAGAGCUAGCUAGACUUAUGGUCUCUUUACAUCUUCUAGUGUGAAAGAAUCUCUCUCUCUCUCUCUCUCUCUCCCUCUCCAGACUUAUGGAAGCCAGCGAGUGCCUGGCACUGCUCGAUCGUUGCAAGACACUGUCCGUGGCCAAGGACAUCCAUUCCCGCAUCCAAGGAAACGUCCACAGCUCCGCGGCCAUCGCCAACAAGCUGAUCGAGGUCUACGGCCGGUGUGGGAGCAUCGACGAUGCACGCAGGGUGUUCGAUGCCACCAAUGCCAAAGACGCGGUUUCGUGGGUCGCGAUGCUCUCUGUCUACACUCGCAACGGGCAUCCAGAAGACGCCAAGCGCAUGUUUGAGAACAUGCCAGAUCGAUCUCCAGCGUCCUGGAAUGUCAUGUUGCUUGUCUACGUCCAAGCUGGGAAUCUACAAGCUGCAAGGCAACUGUUUGAAGAGAUGCCGGAACAGACUCUAGUGUCCUGGAACACUAUGCUCUCUGCAUAUGCCAAAGCCGGGCAUCUUGACACAGCGAAAGAGUUGUUUGAUGCAAUGCCGCAUCACAACAUCAUCUCUUUCUCAGCUAUCCUUCCCGCGUUUGUGGAGAAUGGGCUCCUUGACGAUGCCAGGAUCUUGUUCGAUUCCAUGCAAGAGAGCAACCUCGUGUGCUGGAACACUCUCCUGUCGGCCUACACGCGGCACGGGCACCUCCAGGAAGCGGCUCUCCUCUUCGCCGACAUGCCGGCACGGGACAUUGUCUCCUACACCGCACUCUUGUCGGCUCUCUCGCAGCACAGCCGGCUAGAAUAUUCUAAGAUCCUCUUCGAGGAGAUGCCAGAGAGAAGCAUCGUGUCGUGGACCGCGAUGCUGACUGCAUAUGCCCAAAACGGGUGUCUGGCGGAAGCGAAGGAGAUAUUCGACAAGAUGCCGGAGCGUGACUUUGUGUCAUGUACUGCUAUUCUUGCGGCGUACAGCGAAGCCGGGAUGGUUGACAGGGCAAGGUUUUGUUUCGAUCGGAUGCCAGAGCGAAACAUGGUUACUUGGACUACCAUGCUUGCUGCAUAUGCCCAGCGUGGGCUUGUUGACGCCGUCGCCAAGUUGUUCCAGAAAAUGCCCCAGAGUGAUCUCAUAGCUUGCAACACCAUGGUGAGCGCAUACGGUCAAAGCGGGCGGCUGGACGAGGCUGUACAGGUGUUUGAAGUGAUGCCGGUGCGAAGCCUGGUGACAUGGAAUGCUAUGCUAGCUGCUUAUGCCCAAAACUGUCAUCUUGAGAGCGCAAAGAAGGUAUUUGAUUCAAUGCCUAUGAAGGAUCUCGUUGCCUGGACGGAAAUGCUCGUAGCUUAUGCCCACGCUGGUCAUUUGGAAGAAGCUAAGUGUGUCUUUGACAAAAUGGCACAGAGGGAUGUGGUUUCCUGGAAUGUAAUGGUUACUGCGUUUGGCCAAAACGGCUACCUGGUUGAGGCCCAGCGGUUGUUUGAAUCCAUGCCAUUUCACAGUGUGAUGUCUUGGAACUCCAUUCUGGUUGCAAACAGCCAAUUUGGUGGAUUGCAGGGCUCGAGAUUAGUUUUUGAUGAGAUGCCAUGCCGUGAUACUGCUUCCUGGAGUGCAUUGCUCUUCGCUUAUGCCCAACAUGGACUUGACCAGAAAUGCAAGUUUCUAUUCGAUAGAAUGCCAGAGAAGUCUGUUGUCUCAUGGAACUCCAUGUUAGCCGCAUACACAUACAGUGGUAACUCUGUAGCAGCGAUGGAGCUGUUUAGUCUCAUGAAGAUGAAUGAAUUGCCUAACGAGACAUCUUUUCAUCUGGUUUUAAUCGUGUGCAGCCGCAGAAGAAGCGCAUCUGAAGGGAGGAGACAAUUCCUUUCAAUGUACGCGGACUUUGGGAUAUAUCAAGGAAAACAGCAUUUUCACCUCGUCCUCGAUCACUGGACCGAAGCCAAGGAUGGAUUUCCAUCUGAGCCAAGCAAUGCAGCUCUGGCGAAGAACCAGGUGACAGAAAACUUUCAUAGUUGACAUACUCUUUUCAAGGCAUUUGACAGGAGAAUGUAUGGCAACCGGUUUUGCUCAUCGACUCCGACGGCAUUCCUUGCAGCAGCCGCUCCCUGCUGCGUGUCACCAUGGAUAUCACACGCAGAGAGGAGAGUGGCCCAAUUCUUGAGCUCUGGAACGUAUGGCAUGCUCUCGAUCAGCCCUUUAGCCUCGUCAAGCUGCCCAGCUCGAGCAAGAAGAUCGACAAUGCAGCGGAAAUGGCUGGCUCGGGCAUCCAAGCCGUAAUCCAGGUCCAUGAACACGAAGUGCCGCCAUGCCAAACCGAAGAAUCCCUCGUGUCCCAAGGCCGAGAUGAGACUGAGCAGUGUGAUCUCGUUGGGAUCCCAGCCGUCCAGCUUCAUCAACUGGAAGAGCUCAAGAACACACCUCACGCGCUUCAAACUCCGCUCCCUGCGUCGCUGCUGCUCCUGCGGCCGACUGGAAUCCUCUCGUCGCGUGUAGACCUGCAGCAUCAUGUUCCAUGCCACCACCGUGCGCUCCGGCAUCAUUCGAAAGAGCUUCCUGGCCUCAGUGUGAUGCCCGCUUCGAGAAUACGCAGUUAUCAUGGAUGACCAUGAAAUGCUGUCUUUUACGUGCAUGCUAUCAAAAACUUUCCUUGAAACGUCUAAGAAUCCCGCUUGGAUGUAAGCGAAGUUCAUAGCGUUACACGCUGCCAGACUUUGACACGGCAUUUCUACAAAUAAACUCCUGGCUUCCUCUACAUGCCCGACUUGGGCAUAUGCCGCCAGCAUGGUAGUCCACGUCACUUGGUCACGGACGGGCAUGGAGUCAAAGAUGUCUCGGGCUUGUUCCACGUGUCCGUGGUCGCAGUAGCCUGCCACCAGGGACGUCCACGUCACUAUAUCCCUGGCGGGCAUGCUGUCAAACAGCGUCAUGGCAGCUCCAAGGUGGUUGUUCUUCGCGUAGCCUUCAACCAUUGCAUUGCAAGCAAUGCCAUUCCACACGGGCAUUCGAUCAAACAGCGCCUUGGCAUCAUCUAGCUUGCUGCUUCUCAACAGAAUUACUAGCAUUGUAGUGAAAGACACCUCGUCCCUCUCUGGCAUCAUUUCGAAAAACUCAAUCGCUUCAUUCAGCCUCCUGUCGCCAUCGCCAUCUUGCGAAUGUGCCGCAAGCAUGCUGUUCCAGGCUAUUAGAUCCUGCUCUGGCAUCUCACUAAAGAUCUGCUUCGCAAUGUCGAAAUGCCCACUUGCGGCAUUUGCUGUGAUAAUGGCAUUCCAUGCGACGGUACCAUGUUCGGGCAUUUUCUCAAAAGUAUCCCUUGCCUUUGAAAUCUCUUUGUUUAGUGUGUAGCCUUGCAGCAUUGCGUUGUACGUUAUUUCAUUCCGAACAGGCAUUGAAUCAAACAGAAGUUUUGCGUUUUCCAGAUCCUCGCCUUUGGCAUAUGCUAAAACCAUGGCAGUCCAUGAUACAACAUCCCUCUCCGGCAUGUCCUUAAACAGCGUGCUUGCUUGAUCAAAGUUUCCAAUGUCAGCAUACGCGGCUAUAAUAGUAUUCCAAGAAACAAGAUCUCUUUGAGGCAUCGAAUCAAACAUAGACCUCGCUUGUCCCAAAUGCCCAUUCUGGGCAAGUGCAGACAUCAUGAUGUUCCAGGAGAAAACGUUGGGCUUGUAAAGUUGGUGAAACACCAGCCAUGCUUGCUCGAGCUGCCCACACCUUCCAUACAUGUCUACCAAAAGAUUUCCGAGGUAUCUGUUUGAUCUGUGCUCGCUAGCAUUGAUCUGUGCGUGAACACAUCGUCCUCGGUCGAGGUCCUUGGAAUUGCCGCAUGAUCUGACAAGGGACCCAAACCUCGCGAGCUCCUCGAUGGAUUGCAUUGUUUCUCUCGAGCGCGUGGGCGAUAGCGAUUCAUCCAAGAAUGGUGGAUGCCUCUCGCAAUCUCUUGUGCCAUAUACUAAGAUAUGAUUGUGUCAAAUGCUUGCGAGGCAAGAGCGCAUCGAGCACUAUGCAUCGCUCAUCCGAUCUUGCCAAGAUACACGCCAGGGGAGACAACUCCACGAGCGCGUCCUGGGCAGCGAGUUUCGGAGGAACAGAUACUUGGGCAAUUUGUUGGUAGAGAUGUAUGGCAAAUGCGGGGAUGUAGAGAGCGCAAGGCAGGCGUUCCGAGAGGUCUAUGAGCCCAACACAAUCUCGUGGAAUAUAAUGAUCGCGGCGCUCUCCGAUAACGGCUACGUUGAGGACGCUCGUGCCGUGUUUGAUCAAACGCCUUACAAAGAUGGUGUCUCCUGGAACACCAUUCUUGCAGCAUAUGCCCAAGCGGGGCAUAUUGUAGAGGCGCGUAAAAUCUUUGAGGAAAUGCCAGCGAAAGACGAGGCAUCCUUUACCGCUUUGAUUUCGGCUCUUGGGAGGAUUGGAGAGGUGAGGGCUGCCAAGACCAUCUUUGAUGGCAUGCCGGUGUGGAACACCAUGUCGUGGAACACCAUGCUCCAGGUAUUUUCGACGAAUUCUUAUGUAGAAGAAGCGGAGAAGAUGUUUGAAACGCUGCUGGAGAAGAAUGUUGUGUCGUGGACUGCUAUGAUCGCCGCGUGUGGUGAGCAAGGAAACCCGGAGAAAGCCAGGGGAUACUUUGACACGAUGCCUCUCUUUGAUCUUGUAGCUUGGUGUAGCAUUGUCACCGCAUAUGCCCAAAAUGCGCAUGCUGGAGAGGCCAAGUUUUUGUUCGACAUGAUGCCUGAGCACAACCUGGUCGUCUUUAAUGUCAUGGUUCUGGCUUACGCACAAAACGGAAACUUUGAUGAAGCACGCAGCAUGUUUGAGCAAAUGCCGUUCCGGGACUCAGUCUCUUGGACUGCCAUGGGAACGGCAUAUGCGCAAAAUGGGCAUCUCCAAGAAGCAUGGAAAGUGUUUGAGGUCAUGCCGGAGAAGAACUUGGUAUCUUGGAACGCUAUGAUACAAGCCGUCUCGCAAAUCGGAAGGCUGGAUGCGAUGGCCGAGCUGGGAUACUCUCGGCUGCUCAACGAUCGUAAUAGAAACCAAUGGAGGACUCUGAGAGACAAGAGCGUAGCGGAGGCUCUUGGCCACCUCUAUCUCAUGCUUCUCGAUGGCUGGGAGCCAAACGAGGUGACAUACUUGAGCUUGGUUUCCGCUUGCGGUCACGCAGGGAUGCUGAAAGACGCAUUGUCCCACUUCAAGGCAAUGACUUUCGACCACCGCCUGCGUCCUCAAGCCGGCCACUUCAGGUCCAUUCUGGAUCUCCUGAGCCGCGCAGGGAGACUGGCCGAGGCCAAGGAUCUCAUCCAAAACAUGCCGUUUGUCCCGGAGACUCCUGCGUGGGCGACGCUACUUUCGGCUUGUGGAACACAAGGUGACUCGAGACAGGAAAGUUCUAGCGUUGCACAGAGUGUGCUCGAGAUGAGGUCCGGGAGCUGUGGAUCCUACGUUCUCAUCUCCAAUCUAUACUCCGCAAAGAAGUACGCAAGACAGUGAAUCGCUCUCUGGCGAAGCGACGAACUUAGAGAGCCAAAGUUGCAUCUCUUCCAUGGAAGGACGCCAAAGGAAGGACGGCAUAGACAAAAUGCCAAACUUCUGUGCGUCUCGGUCCGAGGUAGUGACGCUGGCAAGAGACAAGAGGGAAGGCUCAAGCUUAAAGAUCCAAGGACAAGCUCUCCGGUGGGAUUCGAGCGGGAGAGAAGUAGGCCAGCAGCAUCGAAACAAGAGCACACGCCAAAACCAUCGCUCGAAUCAGUAAGAUCAUUAAGAGAACACUAAGUGAAAAGACACAAAGUAGAAGAAAAGAAAAGCCUCCAUUUUUAUUUACAAACGCAAAGUCCCACUAGUACUACGAUCAAUCGUUUUAUCAUGAGCAGCACCCAGCUUUCUUUUUUGUUCUUGGAUCCUCACAGUGAUGGGCGAUGCGAUCGGCGAGGAAAGAGGCAGUUCAUCACCAUCACGUACUGUCGAGAAAGGGAAGCUUGGCGAGGAGCCACAUAUAUAAAUAUACCAUCGCGAUCAUGUCAAAGCUGGCGACGCUCGGGGAGCGAUGGCGCUGGAGCGGAUGAAUUGGAGCACCUCGGGCAUGAACACGUAGCUCACGGUUCCAUCGGGCGUGACGAAUCCAUGCGUCGCGUCCGGAUACUCUACGAGCUUCACCUCCACGCCGCUCUCGCGCAAGAAAUCCGCGUAGGCGACCUGGCGGUCGUGGAGCAAGUCUCGCCCGCCCACGAUCACCAGCGCCGGCGGGAGAUUGCAUGGCAGCGGCUGCGCGGCCGCGAGAGGAUCGCAGAAGGGAUGGUCGCGCGACGCGCCAUCCGGGAGCGCAAGGCUCCACAGCUGGUCGCUCAUGGCGAGCGUGAGGAUGGGGCCGUCGGAGAGGCGGAGCUCCGAGGCGGUCCUGUGCGCGCCACCAAAGAAUGGCUGGAGGAGGAUCUGGGCGGCGAAGCUGAGAGGAGGGAGGAGCGCGCGCUUGCUCUUGGACGACUCGAGCACCAUGAGGAGCGCGUUGUGGACAAUGUUGCCGCCAGAGCUUCCGCCCAUGAAGAUCAAGCUGGAGAAGUCGGCAUACGAGGCUAGCCAGGGAUCCCUUUGAGGAAGAUGGUGGUCGCCACCAUCGCGCAAGCUCGUGAUCUGGUGGUGGUGAUCAUGACUAUCACCAUUGCCAUCCACAGUAGCGCUGGCAGCAUCGCCACCAUCGCCAUCGCUGGUGGAGAGAAGAGCUUGGGCUCGGAGCCAGUGGAGCGCCGAGACGAGGUCUUGGUAGGCGGCGGGGAGGCACGAGGCCGGCGCCAAUCUGUGGUUGAGCGAGACAACAAGAGCAGUGGCAUCAGUGGCUACCUUCUUGCAGAAAUCGUGGUACGAGGACGUGGCGGCGCUGAAUCGGACGAAUCCUCCGCCGUGGACAUGGACCACAAUGGGGAGCUUGCGCUUGGAAUUGAUCUGGAGCGCCGCCGCGGGGAGAUAGAGCCUGACCCACACACGACCAUCGCCACCGCCGAGCUUGACAUCCCGCGACGCCACACCAUCCGCGAAGCUGGAAUCCGCGGCAACCUCGGGGAUUUCCCAGCUCUGCGCGGACGCUGGCGGCCCUGUGGAAUCGCCCAUCAUGCUCUAGCUCUCUCGCGCUCCCGGAGAGAGAGAGAGAGAGAGAGAGAGAGAGAGGCGCGGCGCGGUGAAAGAAUCAAAGAAAUAACUCGUAGAAAACGCGGAGCAAAUCCUGCGCUCCUCCAAUCCAAUCCUGCGCAGCGCUUCUUCCUUCUCCAGGUUUUGUAGCUCUCGCUCCUCUCCGCUCUAGCUACGCGGCCCAAGAGCUUGAUUAGCCACAUUCUUCUUUUUCCAUUGUUUAAGCUUUGCCAUGGACCCUCUCUUGACAAUGCUUCACCAACAAUCACGAAAGUGAAAGGCGCGCAUAAAUAUUCCUCUAAUCGCUCUCUCCUCGCUGCAGAUCUCCCUUGCGGGGUGGAUCUAGAGGAUGAUCUAUGCGUAAGUUAUUUGCACCACACGAGAGGGUGAUUGAUUGAUUAUCAAAUCGCGAUUUGAUAAACCCCGCGGUAUAGCUGUUCCUCAUAUGCGAAUUAUAUCCAUGCGAGCGUGGUCUCGCCUUGGCGAUCUCGCUGUCCACGAGCAUCCGGAUGCUCCACCCCUCGCAAGCAAUUCGCUCUCGAUCGAGUGUAACUCUCUCGCUUUUCCCGCUUAGCAGACAAUGUAAACAAUCGAUCGAUCGCUCUCGUGCUCUUUGGUUGCUCGAGAAUGCUGACAAGAGUUCGCUCUGUGGCAUAGAUUAUCUAAGCAAAGUCUGCGAGUGUGGCGAAGGAGAUCUCCCAGCGACACUUGCUAAAAAAAAAAAAAUCUUGUGCAAAGCACUCGCGGCCAAGGGUGGGAGUGAUGCGUCCAUUGCGAAUGAUUGGCAUAUGAGUUAUCGCGGGUGUAUGAUGAGAUAAUCACAAACCACACUCAAACAAACCAAACAACCUCAACCUUAUAGAAUCGCAAACAUUAUUCCUGGUGGGAAUCCUGGCAAAGACUUUGAAAUUUCUGCCACCACCCGCCCUACCUAGUCUAUGAUCCGAGCGAGCGAACGCGGCAAAACAAAGAGAGAGAGAGAGAGAGAGGAAGAGAAAAAAAAAAGCAAGAAAGAGAGAGCGGAAGAUUCCUUUUUCUCUCAACAAAAGCCGAGAGAGAGAGAGAGAGAAGAAGAGAAAAAAAAGCAAGAAAGAGAGAGCGAGAGAGCGGAAGAUUCUUUUUUCUCUCAACAAAAGCCGAGAGAUUCCUUUAUUUCAACCAAAGCUACCUAUAUUAUUCGAUAUUCGCUUUCUUUCUUCACGGGUGUGACCACUCAACUCCUUGAUUCAUAGGCAAGGUGAUAGAAACUUUAGUUUUUCCUCCAGCGAAACAACGUGGUGGCUGAUGCUCUGACUUGAUCCAAAACAUAUAAUCGAUCGUGCCACCAGAUUUACGAGGAAGCAUACAUCCUCCAUAGCCGCAAGCCAAGACAAGCGACCAAGCGAGCCAAGACGCAAGCUAGCAAUCAAGCAAAGCAGCACAGACACAUGAUCUCAUUCAUCGCAUCAUCGUGCUCAGCGCUUGGGUGAUCUCAUCCUGCAGCGCAAGAUUUGGGAUUGUCGCAGAUUCCUUUGGUUGAAUCCACAACUUGGUCCUGUCGAUCAUGUCCUGGAUUCGUUAAUUCACGCUCUCAUACAGCCCAGUCACAGCUCACUUUCUUCCUUCCCAGAGUGGAAGCAAAGCAAAUCACACCGAGGGAGAGACGAAGAAAAGCGCCGAGACAAAAUCCAAACCACAAGACGUAUGCUUCCGUGUGGCAGAGCCGUAGCUCCACCAUGAAGCCAAAAAAAAAAAAAAAGGAAAAAUAGUCGAAGAAAAGAGUACGAGAAAGAAAAGGAAGAAAUAUACCUACGUGCUACGUACAAACAAAUGCAUGAGACGCGACAAAGCAUGAAUGGGAGAGAGAGAGGCCGAGGAAAAAAAAAAAAAAAACUGAUAGAAGAGAUGGAAAAACUAUUCUUUGUUUCUAGGAGGCAUCUGAAAAGGGAGUAAUACCUCUGUGUCCACUGAAGCGAUGUCCUUGCUUUUCUCGCCGCGGCCUUGCUUCAAUUCAAGCCUUGGGUCUGAGUCUUGCUUCUCUCUCGCUCUCUCGUACUGCUCGUCUCGUCUGGAGAGAUUCCAGUUGUUUAGUAUUCCAAAAUCAAGCACUUAAGUACCUCCUUCUCUUUCUCCUGGAGUCCGAGCCAUUUACUCGGAAGGCUUGGAGGGGUCGCUCUUUGAUAGCCUUCCGUAGCACGGGAUGUAAGUUGUAAUUUAGACUGGGAUGGUUCCUGCCUGGCAAGCUUGUAUAGUUUCAAACCAAAAAGAAAAGGAGAAAGUUGCUUACGAAGGUUUACGUCUGAUCUUUCCAGAUGAUGUCUUUGAGUCCCGUUGUGAACGACUGGUGGAACUGCGCAGCGACAGCAUAUUGUUAAUGUUGAUGGCGAGGAAGAGAAAUAAAGAAGAGUCAAACAGUUGCCUUGUGAUACUCGAGUGUAUCGCCACCAGAUUUCCGUAGCUCCACCACGUAAAAAGACGGUGCAACUUCGAAGACCUGAGAGCAGAGCUUUUGUACGAGAGAAUGAGAACCAAAACGCUUUACCUCCGUGCACACCGAAAGAUGGCCUUUCCUACCUCGCUUUGACCCUUGCAGCGUCAUCUGAAGGAAAGUGCUUGUCCAACUCAUGCAAUCCUUUUUAGAACUAUACCUUGUAGUUCCUCUUCUGGAUAUGGAACCCCAGCGGUCUCGCAGUUUCUUCUAUUGUUCUCACAAUCUCUUUCGCAGGAUGUUUCGAUGUGAACCGUGACUCGCGUUCCACCUCCUACAACAAGUUACGCGAUCGUGAGCAUCUCUAUAGAGAGGAAAGAUAAAUGCUUGAGGAUACUUACACGAUGCUCGAAAAGGCCUGACAAGUUGAAUCCUCGCGACAUCGAUAUGAUCUCAAAAGCAUUCAUGGUGACUGGUUGUGGCUCCUCUUUCUCCGCCACAAGAUGAUCCUGCAAGAAAAUUUCAGUUCUCUUUCAUGUCAAUUUGCCAGACACGCCGUCCUACCUCAGAGCCAUUAAACACCGCAUCAAUGUCGUCAAGGUUGGGACUUUGUUCCUUUCCAAGUGUCAUUGGUUUGUGUUCGACUUGAAACCACUCAUUGUCCAUUAUCCUGGAGAUGGAUAUGCGCUGACGCACAAAUUCGGAAAAGGGCGAGAGAGAGACCAGCACAAGCAAAUAUUACUACAUCAAUGAUGCCAAUUUAAUUCUUACUGAUUUCGGAUUUGGAUCCAGUAUCUUUUGUACAAGCUUUCGGGAGCCCCUUGAAAACCAAUGCGGAAAUGUAAAAUCUGCGCGAUGCAUCUAAUUCGCAUUUAAUUCAUGUCAGCUGAACAGGAAAAACAACCAAACAGAUGUUUUCAUACCUUCUUGUACAGUGCCACCAGAUUAGGCUCGUCAAAUGGCAAGUAUCCAGCCAAGAGGACGUAUAAAACAAUUCCGCAAGACCAGAUAUCGGCUUUGAAACCGUCGUAGCCUUUGUCACUGAUGACCUGUAGAACGAUAAGUUCACACAAGCUAAAACAACAAGCAACGCAGUUACCUCGGGAGCUACGUAGUUUGGCGUUCCACACGUUGUAUGAAGAAGGCCAUCCGACUGUAAAAUCAUUCACUAAUUUAAUGAGCGAGUUCUCUUAUGGUGAACUUAACUCGGCACUGUUGAGGAAGGGCACUUAGACCGAAGUCUGAGAUUUUCAAGUUUCCAUCUGAAUCCAAUAGCAAGUUCUCUGGCUGCCAAAACAAACGCUUCUAAGUCGAGAGCUCUACAAAUAUCAGUUCGUUUCUUUCGAGAAUCACCUUUAAGUCACGGUGGCAGACACCCCUGCUGUGACAAUAAUCCACAGCAUCGAUCAGUUGCUGGAAAUAUAUUCGGGCUUUACGUUCAUCUUGCUUUCCCUCUCGCGCCUGGACGAAAAAGAAAUAAAAAGAAAUCUAUGUCAUUCUUUAAUGAAAAACUGUCAGAUGCCUUACGAUCUUGUCAAACAUUUCUCCACCUGUGACAUAUUCCAUAACCAUAUAAAUCUUGGUCUUGCUGCCUAUAACCUGUAAAGGAAAGUCUCACCACCAAAAAAGAAGAGCUUUGGGAAAUGGUUGAAAUAUAAGCUUACUUACCUCAAACAGCUGAAUGACGUUGGGAUGUCUCACCAGCUUCAUUGUAGAAAUUUCGCGUUUGAUCUGUAAAGUUCGUCAAGAUGACCAGCAAUGAAAGCGAGCUCGACCAUUUCUGCUUUACCUGAUCGACCAUCUUGUGCUUCAAAAUCUUCUCCUUGUCCAAGAUCUUAAUCGCGACGCUCUCGUUCGUCUCCAAGUUCCUGGCGUACUUGACCUUGGCAAAAGUACCUUCUCCAAGUGUCCGUCCCAGCUCAUACUUCCCAACGCGAGUUCUCCGGUAGCUCAUUCCUUCCCCCUCUGGAUGGAAUUCCUAAUCCUCAAGAGCGACACAACGCAUUUGAUCCCAGUCACAGGCUCGAGGAGAUCGCCGAGGGAAACAAGAUCCAGGCCGGAAGAUCAAGCGUGCCGAGUGGAAAUGCAGCUGCGAACAAGCCAAGAGAAAGUGAUGGGUGGAUCCAUGCAAUGCGCGCGGGCUGGCGAGCGAGACAUUGAUUACCUGCCGUGCCCACCGAGAAACCCUAAGUCGCGAGUCGCAAGAAGCCGCGCACUGUUCCAUCGGCGAGGAAGAAGAGAAGGAGCCGCCUCGUUGGAACAGGGGGGCGGGCCGUACACGUCACGACGCGGCGGCGUACGGACGUGGUCCAGAAAGACAGGAACUAAUUAGGGCAACGGUGGCGCCACCAAAAGAGCAUUGGGGGCGUGGUUUUCGCUCGCCGCGAUUCGAGACAAUCUUUGGAUGUGCCACCAACCUUGUGUGCAUUAUACACAUAAAAAUCAUACAAUUGUUGUAAAUGUGGGUGCUGGUUUUCCAACAAAAGAUUUGAUAGAGAGCAUCGAAUCAUAUCGCACCGCCAAAACACUUUGUCCGUCCAUUGUCUCCUCUAGAGCGCUUAUUCGCGGGCUAGAGUCGUGGUAAAAACCGCGGUGAAAAAAACCGGGCGCGGUAAAACAGCGGCGACAAUUUGGUGGCGCCAACUUCCUAGAAAGCUUGCAAAUCCACCUAGGGCCUGUGGCGACGCCAAAUUUAAGAAAGAUUUACCAAAAUUACCACACCACCCGUGCGUUUUUCACCUUUGACCACGGACCAGGGCAUAUUCCCCGCCCGGGAAUCCUUGGCUUCGCUGGAGGGGAGAUCCGGAAUCGUUUAGUUUUCUUGUUUCGUGGGUGCCGGCUGGCGCAAACGGGAGGAGUGAGGAACACUUGACAAACACAAUGUCAAAUCCAGAUUGAAUACCAAUUUGGCGAAUAUCCCCCCAAUCUCCAUAUUUGUAAAGUAGAGAAGCGAGAGAUUUGUUUGGCGCCGGGAUCAUGAUCAUAUGCCAAGAUCUCUGCGCAAAUCUUUCCAACAGUGCCAAGGUCAUGCUCAUGCGCAACAAUUGGAGCGAGUCGAGAAGAGACACUCCGCAGCCGUGAUUUUUGUAUGGAUUCUUCGUGACGAAAGUGGGGUCAAAUGGGUUUUGUAUUGUUAUGCUUGGGCCACAUUGACCAGCUCUCUAAUUUCCGCCACGCACAACCAUAUCCCAAAUCUUUGAAAAAACAAAAGCGAAAAGGCAAAAUCUUUGCGCAACAAAAGGUGGCGGACCAAACUAGACAUCUAAAUUUUUCUAAGCUUCUCGUUUCCGAUCAUACAGCUUAGGUACCUGCCUAGUGUUUGAAGCCAGGCGAAAAUCAAUCAAUGUAACUCCCGGCUUUUCACUUUUGACCGCGCGGUAAGAAACCGUGUUUUUACCCAGUCGUGGUGGACGAGAUUCGCCAGGAUCUCGCCGGAGGUUGUUUGCCGGCGCCGGGACCUCAGCAAAUCCGCCAAAGAUUUUAUAGCGCCCAGCAAAUAAUUUAAAAACCAUGGAAAUUUCAGCGAAUCAUAUCUCCAUCCUGGGGGCUCGUCAAUCUGACAGAGCCAAACCGACGACCGACGGCUGCGGUCACGACACGUGUCAGAGGAGCGUUUACCGGACAGAAUACGUCAGUCUAAUCAGUCAGUGUGAUGGCUUUGCUUUGGCAUUCAUUCGUUUGUUUGUUCAUUCUUUCUUCUCUUUUCUCUCGCGUCGCAUCGACAGCUCCUCAUCUACGGCGUCAAGGAUUCCAUCGAUCGAUCGAUCCAUCCGCCAGGUCGUCAAUCGCGCGGCGCUCGCGGCAGUCGCGGCGCGGCUCGAUCGGCGGCACGGAAAGAGGUAUGUGGAUUUGGGCGAAAUCGCGGAGAUUUUCUGGCAUGGGAAGCGGCAGCAAGGGCGGGAUCGAAGCGGAAGAAGCUGCCUGUGAUGCGUGACGCAAUGCUCGCGCGGAGCAUUGGAGCUCUCCUCUCCAUCGCCGAUGAUGUCCUGUCGAGCCUGGUGGAUUAUCGGAGCAGCAAUCGUCUAGGAUUGGAAUUGGAGCAGGGAGGAGGAGGAGCGAUCCAUAAUCUGGCCAGGGCGGGUGUAAUGCAGGAGGGAUCGCCGAGUCCGGCCGUGGAGACAGGGAAGCUCUUCAAGGAGGUAUCCAGGGCAUUUAGCGGUAGCAACCAAAAGGAUGAAUUCCUGGUCGCGUCCACCACUAGCACGACGAGCAGCUCCUCGUCGCCUCAUGCAUUGCUCGCGUCCAGCGCGCAGCAGCUCAAGCACAGAUUCAAGACGUCACACAAGAGAUCUCGCCUCGAGGAGCUCCUCAUCGAGUCCACGCACUCGGAGAAAUUGGGAUCGUCUCACACGGCGCUCCCAGGGUCAGGGACAGGGACAGGGCUGGACAAGCUAGUCGUGACUUUGGCACUGCUUUUAUCCUCGGCCAUCUUGCUCGUGUGGUACUUGACGCCGGCCGCGGUACUGGUUUGGGCCGUCCCGGCAGCGAUGGUGUCACUGGCGAUUUGGACGAGAUUUGUUCGCUGCGAUCCGCCGAGUUCCAGGGAGAUUUGCGUGCAAGGGCAGUGUUCCGGGUGUAGAGUAGUGAGCCAGGACAAGCAAGAGGAGGAGGAGCAGCAGCUGGCCCAGCGAGCUCAUCGUGCCAAGCAACAAUUCAUGGCUUAUGUGUUCCAUAACAUAAGAGGUGAGUUCGUUGCUAGGCUAGAAGUUUCUUUUUCUUUCGCUCUUCCGUAUAGAUGGUGCGAGAACUAUUUCGUGAUUUUCUGACGUACCUUUGGCUUCUCCGUGCAGUCCCUUUCAAUGCGAUCGUCCUGGGAUUGGGUCACAUGCGUGCUUCAGCGUCCGGGGAUGACUCCAGUUCCGGGGAGCUAGACUUGGUGCAACUAAUGCUAGACUGCGCCGAGACAAUGACAAACGUGCUUGAUGAUGUUACUGAUAUGGGUAAGGUGUCCAUGUCUCGACUCGAGUCUCGACUUUUACUUAUGAUUGUUCUCGACAUAACUAACGAAUGAUCGGUCAUCCACAGGAAACUGGGAGGAGGGGCGCAUUGAGCUUCACCGAGAUGUGUUCGACUUACUGGCGGUGGUGAAGUUCCUGGCGUGGGGUUUGAAAGAUUUGCUCGAGCAGAAACAAAUAUCUCUCAACAUUGAUAUCGAUCCGGUCGCCAGCAAGAUUUUGAAGUCCCACAACAUUGUCGGUGACAAGCACCGGACUGUACAGACGCUAGGUAAUCAAACUCCUCCACGUCUGACUCUCACUCACGCUCUGCGCAAGCAGGCAAUUUUCUCAGUAAUGCCGUCAAGUUCACGCCUACCGGGGGAAAGCUCGACCUGGAGAUCAAGUGUCAAGAGCUCGACGGGGUCCCGGUCUCAAACUCCAAAGGCUUUGAGACCGACGAGUUAGAGCACAAGUCCCUGGAGCUCUUUAUUGCCGUCAAUGACUCUGGCGCAGGUAACGUUUCUUUCUUCGCGAUCGCGAUGCUUUGUUUUGUUCUGACUUGAAAGUCUGGUGCUCGGACAGGAAUUUCCUUAGAUGACCAAGACAGACUCUUCGAAGCGGACUCUUUCAUAUCGUCUCCUUGGGUCCAGAAAGCUGGUGUUUCCGGCCUGGGCUUAAGUGUUGCGAAACGCUUCAUCGAACAGAUUGGUGGUCAGAUCGGGGUACGCUCGCGGGACCAAGGAAGUACGUUCUUCUUCUCCGCUCCAUUUCUGCUGGUUCCGAUACAAAAGCGCACGAACUCGUCAGUCCCGGCCUCUGGGAUCUUCUAUAACAUGAGGUCUACAGACUCCGUAAGCAAAGAGAAGCGAAAGUUGGAACGCCUCAGUGACCUUGACGCCCAACUCAAGUGUUCGCCGGGUGCUGUGCUGCCACAAGACGCCUCUCCGUGCAGGAGAAAGGUGCUGCUAGUGGAAGACACGCGGAUAAACAGAGUAAGUCUCGUCUUUGGCUAUAUCGGUGCGCAUUUUACUUACCAUCAUCUUGGCUGUACGUACAGAUUAUCUUGCGGAAGGUUCUUCAGAACCUCAAUCUCCAAUGCGACGAGGCAGAGAACGGCCAGAUUGCUGUCGACCUGCACAGGCAGGGCAAGUCCUACGAUCUGGUGUUGAUGGACAAGGAAAUGCCUGUCAUGGACGGACACGAGGUAAGAGUUCUUAGAACUGAGUUUUCCUUUCUCUCCAAAGUAUGCUAACGUAAGUUCCUGGCAGGCAACUAGAGCUCUGAGGAUGAUGGGUGUGAAGACUCCAAUCGUGGCCUUAACUGGCAAUGCUUUGCAGUCGGACAAGGAGCUCUUUUUCGAAGCCGGGGUGAAUGAGUUUCAAACAAAGGUAUGGAAGGAAACGUAAAUGCUCGUGGACAGACAGGAGUGCUGAUGCUCUCGCUUUUGCCGUGGCAGCCUUUGUCUAGAGACAAACUUAUCCAGCUCCUGGCAAGAUACGGAGUUGAGAGCUCAUCGCCACCGGUGGCUUUGCAACUUUGUCGCGAGUAAGCUGCCCAGCGACGAGCGAUCAAGGAGCGACAACAUACAGAGUUUUCAAGGGAUUGUCUUUUUGGCGGGACAGGCAAGCCCGGUUGGGAAAUUUGUAUAGACUCACUCUAUUAUGUACAGCUUUUUAGUGGAGCAUAGGAAUCAAAGAGAGGGACGAGAGAAAAGAAAGAUAGAAAGAGAGAAGAAGAAAAAAACCAUGGAAGCUCCAUUCAGCUGAAACAAAUGGAAAGAAGGAACUUAGAAUUUUUCAGUGCGCUAUGUCUGGAAAGGAAGAUCUUGGAGCUGUUUCAAUACAUCCCGGCUCUGAGAUGGCGGUCAAGUCUCUCGGCAUUGAAAGUUCCCGGAAUCUCGUGAAAAUCAUCGUUGAAGAUUGAGUAGGCACUGCACGGCACGUAUCCUUGUGAUCUGGAAUGGAAUGGAAGAAGUCUUCGUACCUGAUGUCGCCCUCUUGCCGCUUUCCCAGAUUCCAAACGAUGAGACAAAAGAUCGUUGCGAUUAUCUGCGACAGUGGUGUUAGUAGUAAAGAACACACAAAACAGCACUGUUUCUUACGUAGAGAUGGCCCAAGUCCCACGAAAUGGCGUAGCCAGCGACGAUGAGCCAGAGCAGGACCAUCAUCCAUCUUCUGAAACCAAAAGAGAAGAUGAUCAUCAGCACGAAGUCUGCUCAGAGAAAAAAUCACACCAGUGUCCAUGCUCACGCUUGAUGUAUGAUAAAAAAGGACAAGCUACCUGGAAACUUGAGCUUGUGCUUCAAGAACUGUACGAGUCUUCUCUCGAGCGGGGAUGCGGUCGCGGGAAGCUUGAAUCUCUGGACACACACAAAACACACUUAAAACCAACAAGAAGAUUGCUCAAAGGAAAAAAAACAAGAAAAACUCUCGUACCAAGUCAUCAUCCUCGUCUUCGUUUUUGCUCUGCGAGUGCACCGAAGGCGCCUUGGGUGGAAGAAGCACCAGCAACGAGUCUAAAAGGAAGAAGAAGAAGAAAAAAACGAUGAAUUCCACUCAAGAAAGAAACAAGAGUUAAAAAAUGUCCAUAGUCUCACCUCCAGCUCGAAUGUCGACAGUGGAGUAAUCAUCAGCAGCACCGAGAGCCUUGCCUCUAAACACGAGCUUCAGUCGAUUCACUUGAGAAUCCUCCACUAGGCCAAGCUCCUGGCUCACCAAUCUCCGCAACACACCGAUCUAGUAGAAAUCCCGCUCAUCAAUCGGAUCGAUUGGAUCAAUCGAUCGGCCACUCACCUCGCAUAGCGGCUCCACCUGGAUCACCCGGCGCCGCCGCGCGAAUCCAGCGACCUUGAGCUCCAGCGGCACCAUCCCCGGCGAGAAACCCUAGAGGUAGCGCUUUCGAAAUUUCCCGUUUAACGGGGGGGCUUUGUUCUUGGCUCUAUUUCAUUGCUCCAGCCAAAAUGGGAAGAGCUACUGCGUGAGCGAUGAAGGAUUCCGCCAAAAGGUUUCUCCUCCUCCCUUUCUCCGGCCUCCUGCCAUCGUCAAUCUGCGUCCUCCUCGCCGCCGCGCUCGUCUUCUUGGCAGCUCUCACGAUCCCAAACCUGGGACUGGGAUUCUCACCGCCGCUGGAGCUCCUCCUCAUCCAUCCCUACGCGCCGAUCGCUCAAUCGCCUGGGAAUCUCUCCACCGCCGCGCCACCGAGCGAUCCAGGUAGCCGAUCGGUGCCAAAUCUUGCUCAAAAUAUUUCGGUGCCAGCUCGAGGAGGAGGAGGAAGAGGAGGAGGAGGAGGAGGAGGGGAUUCCAUCGAUCGCGAGGCGCGAGUGUGCGAUCUCUACACAGGCAAGUGGAUGCCGGAUCCGCGCGGUCCCCUGUACCGCAACGAUGCGUGCCCCAUUCUUUCGCAGGCACAGAACUGUCAAGGGAAUGGAAGGCCGGACAGAGAUUACGAGUCUUGGAGAUGGGUGCCCGAUGGCUGCGGCCUUGCGCGCUUCAACGCCACCGAGUUCUUGCGCAUCAUGCGAGGCAAGGUCCUGGGAUUCGUGGGCGAUUCCGUGGCCAGGAACCAGAUGGAAUCGCUCAUGUGUAUCCUAAUGCAGGUAAGAGGAUCGUUCUAGCUCUUCUUGCUUCUCGCUUUCCUGGAUUGAUCUAGCUAGUUCUCAUUUGCUUGCUCUCCUAGGUAGCCAGUCUCGAUCGCGAUCAAUGUAGGUACUCUUUUUCCUGAUCGGAGUAGUAGAUGCUAGAUGGUUUUUUUUCCUCUCUUUCUCUCGAUCGCGGACUAACUGUGAGCUUCGAUUACCACACCAGGUGGAGAACCCCGUGAACAAAGGCAAUAAGAGGAUGCAACGCUGGUUUUUCCGCUCGAGCAAGGUCACCAUCGUCCGGAUCUGGUCGUCAUGGCUGGUGAAAUCCACACCCGGCGACGCCUCGGUGAAGAGCGCAACGAGAAUUCACAUCGAUCAACCCGACGCCAACUUCAUGGACUUCCUUCCCAGCGUGGACGUGCUCGUCAUCUCGUCCGGCCACUGGUUCGUGAAGAAGUCGGCGUUCAUGCGGGGUGGCCAGGUGGUGGGAACUCAGGGGUGGCACAGGCCGAACGCGACCAUGACCACCAGCAAAGCCUUCGCAGCGUCCAUGACCACGGCCCUCACCGCCAUCGCCGCCAGCCGGAACUACAAGGGACUCACGGUUUUUCGGACGUUCUCGCCGGAUCACUACAUCGGGGGGUCGUGGAACACGGGAGGGUCGUGCACGGGGAUCACGAAGCCUCUCACGGACAACGAGGUGAAAAGGAUUGGCAGCAGCGUCUUCACGAGCGAGAUGAGGCGGAUCCAACUCGAGGCGUUCGCGGAGGCGAAGAGGAACGCGAGCGGAGGAGGAGCCAGGCUCGUGCUCAUGGACGUGACUCGGGUGUUUGAGUACCGGGCAGACGGGCACCCGGGAUCGUUUCGAAGCAAAGAUCCCAGCGGCAAGGUGGCGGCGCAGGACUGUCUCCACUGGUGCAUGCCUGGACCUGUCGAUACGUGGAACGAGUUUUUGCUCCACAUCAUCGUCACGCACAAGAUCAACACGGCGGCUUGAUCCAUCAUCCAUUCUUUCGGGAAGCUCUCCAAUCCAUCUGUAAGUUUUGAUUCUUUGCAAGGGAAAGAAAGUUGCUACGAGACGAUGCUGGCGAGCAUCAUGUAAGGUGCUGAAUUCCCCGGCUCUAGCUCCGAUGCGUUCUCGGCUGCUCGAGCUGCGAGCUCGGCCUCGCGGUGGAGCUUGCAAGCGCUGAGCAUCGUCUUCCACGAGACGGCCUCGGGAAGAAAAGGCAUGGUUUCUACGAGCUCCUGUGCGUCGUCAAGCCGGCCCGAUCGACCGAGAGCGUCCACCAUGCAUCGAUACUGCUCCCUCGUCGCCUCGAUUCCAUAGUCGCUCGCCAUGGACAGGAAGAAGCUCCGGCUCUCCUCCACCAUUCCCAAGUGGCUGCGCGCUGCCAGGACGAUCGUGGCUGCGACCUCGUCGAUCUCCCAGCCUUCGUGGCUCAUGAUCUGGAAGAAGCCCAUUGCCCUCUUCCUAUCGACGCUGUAGCCAGUGAGCAUUGCGUUCCAGGAGAUGGUGUCGCGAGCAGGCAUUGUGUCGAAGAUCCAACGCGCUUCGUCCAGAUGCCCCUUUUGGGCAUUCACUGCGAUCAUGGCGUUCCAGGCUAUAAGAUCUGUGGCUGGCAUUUUCUGGAAGAGAUCUCUAGCCUCGACAAGCUUCUCGUGGCGAGCGUAUCCAGUGACCAUGAUAUUCCAAGCUAGAAUGUCCCUGAACUCCAUCGAAUCGAAGAGUUUUCUGGAUUCUAGCAAAUGCCCUCUCUCGGCAUAUGCAGAGAUCAUCAAAGUCUGGAUCACAACGUCCAAAUGCUGCAUCGAAUCCAUAAUGUUUUGAGCCUCCUCGAGAAUCCCGUGCUGGACGUAGCAUUUGAUCAUCUCGGUUUGCGAGAGCAUGUCGUGCUCGUCGCGCUGGAUGGAAUCGAAGACCAGCUUUGCUUGCUGGAUCAUCCCGGCUUGCGAGUAGGCCGCGAUCAUCAGGGUCUUAGCAAUCACGUCCCUCUCGGGCAUCGCAUCAAACGCCUCCUUGGCGUCGGCGAGGCUGCCAUCGCGGACAAGGGCGUGGAAGAGGGCAUUCCACGUCACCGUGUGUCGCUGUGGCAUUUUUGCAAAGACAAGCCUGGCUGUGCCGAGGUGGCUCGCCGCGUCAGCUAGCGCUUGAAAGAGAGCCGUCCACGUCACUACGUUUCUCUCCGGCAUGGAGUCAAACUCCUGCUUGGCCUCGUCCAGGUGACCGUUGGCGGCCAGUCCCGACAUGAGGCUCGUCCAUGUCACUAUGCUUACGAGAGGCAUCUUGUGGAACGUGGCGCGGGCACCAGCCAGCUGUCCCUCUCGUGCGUAGCCAAAGAGUAUAAUAUUCCACGUCACUAAGCCACGUCCGCGUGGCAUCUCAUCGAACAAGCUUUUAGCACGAUCAAAAUGACCAGACUGGGCAUAUGCUGAGAUCAUAGUGUUCCAAGAACGCUCAUUGUAACAAUCUAGACUGUCAUACGAAUAAUUGCCAUAAGUUGUUAGGGCACUGGAGUUAGAGCUAGUGAUAUGAUCUGAUAUGGACCUUUGGCCUUUCUCAAGCAAAACGUUGAAGAGUUUUUCGGCUUCCUCAAGAUGCCCAGCUUGGGCAUUUGCUGAGAGAAAAGCGUUCCACACGACUGUGUCGUGUUGUGGCAUUCUAAAGAAUGUGGCAGUGGCGGAAACAAGGUCUCGGUUCUCUGAGAAUGACUGAAGCAAGAUGUUCCAGGAAUAAGAAUUGCGUUGCGGGGUGGACUCGAAAACUUGGAAUGCCUCCGCUGGGCGAUUGCAGCGUCCAUACAUGAGGACGAGGAGAUUGGCGAGGAAGGUGUUGGAGCUGUGGCGGCUGUGGAUGAUAGCGGCGUGGGCUUCUCUCCCGCGCAAGAGAUCCCGGGCAUCGAUGCAGCUCCUCACUGCCUGGGCGAGUCGAUCCUUCUCGCCCACCAUGGUGGAGAUUAAAAAAAACGAGCAGAGAAUAUGCGACGCAUCGCUCUGGGCCUAGGUUUUGGUUUUGAUGCGUGGCGGAGCUGGGAGGUGGAGCGUCUGGAAUGCAGGGCAUGCUGCGCCACGAUCUUCUCGCCGGCACUGAUGUCACAACAGCUGCUCCUGGCGAUUUCCUCCAUUUCAAGGCUCACGUCCCUCUGCGACAUAUCUGGGUACGCAAUCGAUCGAUCACUCCAUCCCUAUUCAUCCAUGAUUCUCGAUCGAAAUCUCCUCUCACAGGUGGGAAACAAGCACUGGCGGUACUACCAGUCGGGACCAAAGCUCUUGCCGCCUUUGGUGUGCCUGGGAGGGACUUCCUCCACUGCCGAGGUCUUCUACAAGAUUAUUCUCUCCCUCUCCGCCAAGGUAUUGCUCUUCCUUCGUUCUUCUUCCUUUUGUUCAUGCAUUUUGUUGUUUAGAGACGUUGUAAACGUAUUUUUCGAUUCUUCUUUCAGGGCUAUCACGUAAUUGCUGCUGAUGCUCCUCCCGUGUGGAGUCACCAGGAAUGGAUCGCUUCGUUCGAGAAGUUUUUGGAUCAAAUUGGUGCACACCAUGUAAGUAUGAUACAAGGUGUGCUUCCGGAAUUUUUCUAAUGUUUCUCUCUUUGGUUUUUGUUAAGGUUCACUUGUAUGGUACUUCUCUCGGUGGGUAUUUGUCGCAGCUAUUUGCUCAGCAGCGUCCGAGGAGAGUAAAAUCGCUACUUCUCUCAAAUACGUUCUUGGAAACACACACUUUUGCUUCAAAAACUUCUUGGAAACCAUUGUGAGUAAGAACUUUCUGCUGUUUUUGAUCAAAGACUUCGCUUCUUACAGGAUAAGUUGGACGCCCGAGUUCAUGCUAAAGCGAUACAUCCUCUCAGGAAUUCAUGAGGGGCCGCAAGAACCUCUCAUUGCCGAUUCAAUAGAUUUCGUGGUCUCCCAGGUAUGUGCCUCAUUUUGAGGAACUUCAUAUCCUACGUUUCGAUUCCCGACAGUUCGAGACCCUUUCCCGCGAAGAUCUCGCAUCACGCUUGACACUCAACACGUCUCCUGCUGCAGUAGGCCAGAUCACACUCCCGGACUCGUGCAUCACCAUCAUGGACGUAAGCAUUCCCGCCUUUCGAGACAUUUACUAAAGCUUAACUUACAGACGAAUGACUACUGUGCCAUCCCGCAGUCUCUCAAGGACCAAGUGGCUGCCAGAUAUCCCACCGCCCGAAGAGCCAUGCUAAAGUCCGGUGGAGAUUUCCCCUUCCUCUCUCGAGCAGCCGAAGUUUCACUUCACGUACAGGUAGCAGCGAUCUCGUCUUUUCCCCUGAUCCUCGUAACUUUGCCUCGCAGCUCCAUUUGAGGAGAGUGGGAGUGGAAGGCGUUCCCGACGCUCGUCCAAUCCCAUCCCCUGGGAGUGGUGGAAGCGGGGACUCCGCCGGCGACGAUCAAUACCAAGGCCGGAGCCCCGACGGAGACCGAAGCUCUGCCGCGAGAGACGAGCCAUCUUCGAGCAGUCCAGCAGCCACCGACCGGAGCUUCUCUCCAAACGCCACGGACUCGUUCAAGCGACUCGGUCUCGCAAAUCACCUCCAGGCCGACUUGCAAAUCUCUCACCUCUUUUCUUUGCUGUGUUUGUUAGCCGCUGUACAAGAAUUUUGGUUUUGUUCGCCAGUAGCUACUUGUCCGAGCUUGAAAGUUUGAUCGUUUUCUUUGUUCUUGUAAUUUACAACCACCUUUUUUUUCUACCAAUCACAAGUUGGUUUUAGUAACCCUACCACCUUUUUUUCAUGCGUACCUACCUUUAUCCUGCCACCUUUUUUUCAUGCGUACCUAUCUUUACCCUACCACCUUUUUGCCCAAGCCCUACCACCUUUUUACCACCUUUUUAUGACACGAAACGUGCCCUUUGUCGCAACGCUAUGACAUUGCACAUGUUAAAGAGCGUGGAAAGUUUCAAUACUCAAUCAAAUCCGUGUUGUGCACUACUUGCAAAAUUCUUUCCUCAUCGUCAAGUGACGUUACAAUGGAAAAUCGUUGUUAAAAAAGAAUACUCGCGUGUCGGGUUAGCGGCCAAGACUUGGAAGAAUAGGAGGGAACGCGACGAUUUCCCGUCAACACCAAACCGUUGGAAUUGCUGGUGGCGGUGUUCUUGAGCUAGAUCUCUGCUGUUCUUCCACCAGAUUCAAGGCCUGGAGCAGCUUGGGCCAGCUCUCGCUCACGCCCCCGCGAACAUCAAAAUUGACCAGCUUCCCCUGCUUGCGGUAGAAAUCCUCCACUGGUUUGCUCUCCUCGUCGUAAACCUGGAGCCUCUUCUGGAUGCUCUGCUCGGAAUCGUCCUUCCUCGUCACCAUCUUGUCCAGGCACUGGAUCGGCGGAGGAAUCGCUGGCAUCCUCAGAUCGCCCACUGAAACAUCGGCCAUGCUGAACACUCGCCCACACUCUCCACACACCCUCCGGCCCAGGCACUUCUGGAUCAACACCUCGCGCUCCUGGGCGAAGUUCACAGCUACGUGAACGUCCGCUAUCUUGUCUAGCACGAUCGCCUGGUUCACCGUCCUGGGGAAUCCGUCCAGGAUGAAUCCCUUGUCGCCCCUGGCAGCCCCCGCCUGGAGCCGCGAGUGGAGCAAUUCGAACACCUCCUCGUCGCCCAGGAGCUUCCCCUUGCUCACAACCUCGGCGAUGCGCCGGGACAUGGAGCUCACCUUCUUCAUCUCCUCGCGGAUCAAAUCGCCAGUGGAGAUGUGAGGAACGUCGAGCAGCGCCGCGAGCUUGAUCCCAAACGUCCCCUUGCCGGCUCCCGGCCUCCCCAGCAACACCAAAUUGAGCUCUCGCUGCUUCCGCGGCUCCUCCUCCAUCGCCUUGCAAAUCUCCGGCAUCAAACCUUGGUGGUGAUCCUCCUGCGAGAUCGGUGGCAGUGGAAGCGGAUCCACGAUCGUCUUCUUCUUCUGGCAGUGGCCCAUCCCGGACAACCUGUUAGCUAUCCCAGAGAUCUGGGGCAUUGCUCGUCUCCCUGCUAGCGCCAUUGUGUCUCUUCCUUUUCCGAUUAGGCCACAAGAAAGCCCUCUCUCUCAUAUACACGGAAAAAGGGCAGUAAAGGAAUAUCCCGCGUGGCUUGACCGGUCAACAGUCGGCGGGGGGUCAACCAUCAUUCGCGGUCAAAAGCGCGCGCGUGGAAGAGAAACGUGGAAAGUGCUUUUACCACUAGAAGUUACCAGUGACGUCGUAGUCUCACCCACGCCACGGCACCGACCACCGCGCCGCCCAGAUGGCCUACGUGGCUUAUGGUGGAUGCCACCUGGCAAGCAGACAAACAAGCAAGCCAUUAGAGAACGCUUCCCAAAACUUUGGAAGAAACCACGCAAGAGAACUUACAUCGGAAACUCCCCACAAAUCCUUGAGGAUCAUGUAAGCUCCCUGUGGAGUGAGCGAUCGCGUCAAAUUCUCACAGCAUUGGAAUGGGAAAAACAAAAACUUAGGAAAGAUCGAUCGCUUACAAACAGGGCAGCUGGGACUGGGAAGAGGAAAUCGACCAAGAUGACGCGCGUUGGAUUGAGCAUGAUGUUGAGGACCACCAGCGCGUUGAUGGCUCCACUGGCGCCCUGUGGAAAAAACGUGUCGCGCAUCAAACAGCACGCGAGAGAUAGAGGAAGAUCACGCUUUUCUCUCGACUCACCAGCGCUGGUGGGACAAAUCGGGCCACAAAGGUGCUGUGACGAAGCCCCUGGGAAAACCAAAAAAUGUGAAUGACGAUACGAGGAUCCAGAAGAAGAAUCGCUGCGCUUUUAUCGAACCUUGAGCCAGGGAUAGAUGUAAUAGCUAUAAGCCAAGUGUCCGAAGGAGCUAACGAGGCCACCCGCAAAGUAGAUCAUGUAGAGCCUUUUGCUGCCGAAUCUAUAAGCGAUCUGCGAAGCGGAGUGAGCACGCGAGAGAGAGCGAAGAUCCGGAUCGAAAGAGAACAGGAGAGAUCACAAGACCUCGGUGCCAAAAAAGUAUAGGCCGAGUAAGUUGGAUGCCAAGUGCCAGAACUCGUUGUGGCUGAAGAAGUUUGUGACGAGAGUGUGGAGUCGGCCACUCAACACGUUGUGCAUGGAGAUCUGAGUGUCACAAUUGUCACGAGAGAAUUUCUAGCAAAAGAAAAAGAGAGAAAGAAACCGACCGUGAAAUGCUCGGUCAUGAAAACCGGGUCGAAAACCUUCCACAGGAAGAACACCGAAACGUUGGCACCGAUCAAAGUCCACAAAGCAACAUCGGGUCGAGCGUAUCCUCCACCCCUGAUAGAGUUCCAAGAAAAAUAAACAUCACCCUCGAAGAAGAUCAUAGAAGAUCAUAGCAUAGGAAAAAAACGAUCUUUGUUACCCUGGCAAGCGGCCGAGGCUGGAGUAUCUCCAGCGCUGCGAGAAGCGAUUCACAAGCCGGUUCCAUUCUCGCACGGCGGGCUGCAACUCGGCUGGGAUCUUGAGCUUGCUUCCCUGGAAACUUGUCCGAAACUGGCUGCUGCUCGUCCGCGUCGCGUGAAUCCAGCAAGUGAGAGGCCGCCAUUCGGUGCUCGUGGCGAUCUUUGAUGUGCCCAAGAAACCACUCACGCUCGUCUUACCAGCGGUCGCACAGAUUCUGCGCACUGCCGCCAUUUCCACCCUAAACGAAGACCAAGCUUUUGGAAUUCCAGGAAACCUUUGUAUUGUUUUGCAGUCUCGAGAGAACGAGAGUUCGCUCCAAAUUCCACCAUUUCGUUUCCUCUCCCGCGGAAUUGGAGAGCGAAAAGAAUCUGAAAGGUUGGCACCGAUUAGAAAAACUGGCUUUUUGGUUCGAGGAAGCCUCACACGCUAUGAGAUAGAUCGAGAGAUGUCCGCUGUUCCUUCCAGAAACUUAGAUUUUGGAGAGAAGAACAAUGCAAGUGGAGAACUUCUUGUGCUGGAUCAUUGCUUUCGAAUUCGCGCUUUUUAUUUACAUCGAUUUGGCGAAGAACAUCAUGGGAGGAUUGGAUUCGUGUUGUUGGUGGAGUGGCAUUGGAUUUGGAGUGACGAGACGAGGAGCUUGUGUGUUUUCCUAGCCCUGAUCGCUUCGCGUCCCAGUGUUCGUGGAGGCCGAUCUUCUCCUGUGCCUUCCGCGUCUACGCCUCUGCGAAAAAAGAGAUUUUUGAGUCAAGUUCCACUGGACGAUUGGGUGAUCUUACUCCUCGCCCUCGGCGCCGCCUCCGCCGGCGCAUCAAAGAGGGGCUUGUCGACGCUGUUCUUGCGGGUCGCACCAUUUCUCCUGUCCUCCCAAACUCUAGCAAUGCUUCGCCAUAGUUUUCUCCAGCAAUGUAUAUCCCCGGAACAGCCGCGACCCUUGGAUCUGCCACGUCACUGAUUAGAUCAGCCACGUCAGCGAUCCCCGGAACAAAACCCUAGGCUCGUACGGAGCUUAUUAACUGGAGUUUUAAACUCUUUUGGGCGAGGGAGGAGCGAGGAAUAGAUUCGGCAUGGGGAGCGCGCGGCGGCCCAAGAAUCCCAUCCAGGCGCUCGUCUGGAGGAUCCAGCGCCAGAAUCCCCGCGUCAAGGCCGCGCUCCUGGCGCUGGCGGCAGUGAUUGGGAUCGUCUUCCUCAGGUAUGUCGUCAAGGAUCACGACACCCUCUUCGUCGCCUCCGAGUGCGUCCACGCCCUGGGGAUCGUCAUUCUCAUCUACAAGCUCCAGAAGGAGAAGAAUUGCGCCGGUAAGGAUCCAUGGAGCGAUCGAUCGAUUCGAUCGCUCAUUAGCUACAGCUAGGGCCGCGUCAAAUCACUUAAAUAACUUUCUUACAAGUGUGUGUUUCUCGUGUUUCUUAGGUGUGUCUUUGCGAUCGCAGGAGCUUACAGCGAUUUUUCUUCUCGUCCGGCUCUACUGCUCCACUUUCAUGGAGCAAAACAUCCACACUUUCCUCGACACGGCCACGCUCCUCGUCACGGCCUGGGUGAUUUAUAUGAUCCGGACCAAUCUCAAGGCAACUUAUGUCCAGGAACUCGAUAACAUGCCACUCUACUAUGUGGUAAGCUUUGUUUUUCUCGUCCGGGACUUGAGUUCUAUCACUCCUUUUUGGUUUUCCUUUCAGCUGGCUCCAUGCGCAGUGCUCGCUAUCCUGGUUCAUCCUCUCAUCCGGUACCACCUUAUCAACAGAGUUUUGUGGGCGUUUUGUGUGUAUUUGGAGGCCGUCUCCGUGCUGCCUCAGCUUCGGGUGAUGCAAAAGGCUAAGGUAGGCCAAUUCUCUAUGUUUCUUCGCUCACUUAUCUUGGAUUUGAUCCACAGCUUAUAGAACCCUUUACUGCGCUCUACGUUUUCGCCCUUGGGGUUGCAAGAUUUAUCAACUGUGCGCAUUGGCUGCUCCAGGUAUGAAUCUCAUUGCAAGACAAGAGGAAGGUCAUGUAAAAAAACGCAUUUUUCUUCUCCUUUUGCAGCUGAUAGAUGGACGUGGCUACCUCUUCUACACGCUGGGAACGCAGCUCAAACACCGGAGCUUGAUUCCUUAUGGCUUGUGGCCUGCCAUGGUUGUGGUCGCCGAGAUUGUCCAGACAUUCAUCCUUGCCGAUUUCUGCUACUACUACGUAAAGAGGUAUGGAUCAAAAGAAGAAAAAAGCCAUUUUUUCCAUGAAAUUUACGAUUUCUUUGUUUGUGACAGUGUGGCGGAGGGCCAGAUGAUGAUCCGGUUGCCUUCAAGUGUCUAGAAUUUCAUUUGGUUGUACAAGUCUUUUCUCCUCCUUUAAACUUUCUUAAGUUAACUUAAAAUGGCCGAUUAAAAGAGUACCUUUAGGGCUAGCUAGCUAGGGCAAUUUGGAUUGAGCGCCAUGGAAGACAAGCAGCUGUUGCUGGCGCAGUUCAUGGAGGUGGUAGGCGAGCCUGCCGAUCGCUGCCACCAGUUCCUCGAGGUUUGAUCCCUCCCUGAUCGCUCUUCUUGAAGGAAAUGCCGAGUGAUUUUGUGUAGGCGACGAACUGGCAGCUCGAGGAAGCGAUUCAGCUCUUUUUCGCUGGCGGAGGUGUCGAGAUUGGAGCUCCGCCUUUAGCAGCGGAGCCCCCGCCAAUGAGCAAGCCUGUCCAUGCGGAGCCACCUCCAGUAGUGCUCCCUUCUCCAAGGUGAGAGUUUUCCUUCGUUCUUUCUCGUUCCUGGAUGAAAAGAAAGGAUUUUUUUCCUCUCAGUGGGGGAGAUGACUACGUUCGUCCACCACUGCCUGUGAAACGCGAGGCCUUGUACGAGGAUAUCUUCCAAUACAGGUAAGAAAACGAAGAUCACCAUCUCCUUUUCUCAUUCUCUUUGGAUGGUUUUCCAGAGCACAAAGAAGGGCGCAAGCAGGUCCCGUCCAGCCGACUCCUGUGGAUGCUUUCCGGAACUUCGAGGACGAGUUUAACUCCAGAAUCGCCAAGCCCUCCCCUGGGAGCUCUCCCGUGGGUGCCAAAGCUCCAACGCUUGCGUCCCUGUACCGUCCGCCACUGGAGCUCAACUUCGAGGGAAGCUUCGAACAGGUACGAAGGACGCCACUUUUCCCAGACGAGACCAUCUUUCUCCGCAUGUUUAGGCGAAAGCAGAAGCAGCCAAGCAAGGAAAAUGGUUGCUCAUCAACUUGCAAUCCCAUACAGAGUUUGCGAGUCAUAUGGUAUGAUUAUAGCUCCACAAGUAAGCUUGCAAACUGUGUUUUCUCAUCUACGAGCUGAUGCUUUCUGUGUAGCUGAACAGAGACACCUGGGCACACGAGGCCGUCAAGGACACGGUGAGGAUAACCUUCGUCUUCUGGCAGGUAUUUGUGAUGUUUGAUAGCAUUCGUGGCCUCACUUCUUCUUUGCUGGUUUUAGAUCUACGAUGACACCGAGGAAGGAAAGAAGGUGUGCACGUACUACCGCUUGAAUACCAUGCCUACCAUUCUGGUGCUGGAUCCUUUAACUGGCCAGAAGAUGAGAUCCUGGGAGGGUAUGGUAGGCGCGGAGAGACUGCUCGAGGUAUAUGUUUUAUUCACCACUUUCUAUAGAGAGUUUUCUAUAGAGACUUACAACACUUUCAGGAUCUUGUCCAAUUCAUGGAUAGAGGUCCCAUGGAGAACCACACUCAAAAGCGACCACGAGAUGUGGAACAACAGCAACAGCAACAGCAACAGCAGCAGCAGCAGCAGCAACCACAACAGCAGCUGGAUCAAGGUAGAGCUCGACGCUGAGUUGCCAGCAAUCUUUUCACUUUGUUCUUGGCAGGCCCGGCUGAUACCGACGAAGACAAGGAACUCCAGCGGGCCUUGGCAGCUUCGUUGGAGAGCCAAACCGAGCCUUCUUCGGCGGCGGAGCAUGUCAAGGCCCGCGGCAGCAAGCAUCCAGCGCUGCCGGACGAGCCCAAGCCCGAAGAGCCAGAAACUUGCCGCGUUGGAGUGCGUUUUCCCGAUGGCAAGAGGGGCCAGCGGAGGUACUUUCGAUCCGAUCCACUAACUGUAAGUGGAAAACCAGCGAUGUUCUUCCUUUCUCGCUUCUCAUGUUGGUCGUAUCGUGUAUGAGCAGUACCUCUGGUCGUAUUGCUGCUUGAACGUGGAGGAGGCCGCCAGCGGCAGAAAGUUUCGCCUCACGCUCACCAUUCCUGGUGGGAGGUCUCUCGAGUACGAUCCCAGCAUCACCAUCGAUGAAGCAGGUGUUGCCAACGCCAUACUGAACAUGGCAUGGGAUUGAUCGCUAGUUUUCUUUUCUCCUUCGCCUGUAUCUGGCAAUCAUCUCAACGCGUAGUCAGUCGUAAGAACUCUUUCAAUCAAAACAUGAUUUUUAAGGCUUUUGUUUUGCAAACCUGGUAAUCAUUCUGUCCGAGGACGAGCGCCCCGUGAGUCGGCAGUCAUGAGUCGACAGUCAGACACAGAUAGCUCCAAAAGAUACCUGAAACUCCAGACACGAUAAAUUCCUCUGCAAAGCUGCUACCAACGCGCUCUGGUUCUUCUGUAUAUUUCAAUGUAGCCAGCAAAGAACUUCCAGGUUUGGCGAUGGAGAAGGUCCCGCUGCUGCUGCUUGUAGCGAUGGUGGUGCUAGCAGCAGCAGCACUUCCGGUUCUGGGACAAGAAGUAGAAGCUGAAAACGAGGCGUUCGAUCCAAACGACGACUUCGAGUUCCAGAUGAAGAAGCCGAAAAUUCUCGUCAAAGGCCAUGUUGUCUGUGAUCGAUGCUGGCACGGACGUGUUGGCAACAUGAGCCUCCCUCUCCAUGGUACGCAAGAAAACCAUCUUUGGUAGAAGUUUGAGAGAAGUUCUUCGUUCUUGUGUCGAGCAGACGCCGAGGUAGGCAUCAAAUGCGUGGACCUGUAUGGAUUCGUGACCUUCUCCGGCGUUGGAUACACCAACACUCACGGCGUCUUCACCAUUCCCAUGGACGAGAUUCCAGCCAUCUUCGGCGUUAAGGGAUGCAAAGCCAAGCUUCUGCGAGGCCCAAGCACCGGCGACUGCGAUGAGGUGAGCUCCAUGGGAGAUGGUCACACGGGAGCUCCGCUUCUACUCGUCCACAAAUCCCUGCGAGAGGUCGUGUUUACUUCCGGUCCCUUCGCGUGCCGGCCUCUCAAACGUCCGGGAGCUUGCAAAACCGCCGCUGCUCCUCCUCUUCCUCCUCCGCCAGUUUACAAGUACUCGUCACCACCGCCACCGUUCAAGCACGUCCCAAACCAUCAUCCACCCCCGCCAAGCGUUCCCAGCUACCAUUCUCACACUCCUCCGCCUGUUUCUCACCAUCCGCCACCACCAUCUCCACGACCAGUUGCUCCUCCAGUUUCUAAGUCGCCGUUCAAUCCAUACAUUUACAAGUCCCCACCCCCACCACCUCCAGCUCCUGUGAAAUACCAUCAUCCACCUCCGGCUCCAAUCUACUUCCGCAAAACUCCACCUCCGCAGAUCCAUCCUUCACCACCUCCUGUAACUUCUCACAAGUAUCCGCCUCCAAUGGCACCUCAGAAGCCAUUACCACCACCUCCUGUAACUUCUCACAAGUAUCCGCCUCCAAUGGCACCUAAGAAGCCAUCGCCACCACCAAGUAGCAAGCCGCCACCUCCAAAAUCAUCACCUGGGCCUGUUACAAAGCUUCCACCUCCACUUUUCUACCACUCUCCUCCACCACCACCUACGUAUCAUAAUCGAUCUCCACCACCUGUUCCUGCCAAGUCUCCUGUUCAAGUGCCACCUCCUCAUGCCUACAAGUACUCUUCGCCUCCGCCGCCACCGAGAAGCAUCACCUGGGAUUUCGGAGUCAAGCGAGGAAAGUUAGCCAUAGAUGCCUCUGAAUUGCCAGAGGAAGAUAUAAACGACUGAAGUACCUCGAAAGAUGACCCCGGCUUGGAGUAAGCUAUGCACAGCUGAGAGGCCAAGAACACCGAUAAAAAUUUAGUUCUUUGGAGUUUGAUAAGGCUUUGAACAAAAUGCUUGUUCAAAGACUUGCGUACCUCUGCAACUGUGAGACACUUGAAUUAUUUACAAAUGCUUCCUACAUCCUACCUAUCCCGGGAACUUACAGAUCACAAAAACAAAAUGUUGUGACGCAUUUUAUCGCCGUCCGCAGCCAUCACUUGAGGCGAGAGACGAACUGACCAAGAUUAUACUCCUCGUGGUAUAGUGACUGGUCCCAGAGAUCCUCCAAAGAGCUUAGCAUCGACUUGAGUCCUUUGCCGCCUUUCGAGCCACUCGAUCCUGCAGCCUCUUCCUCCUUAUCCUUGCUCGUACCUGGGACAUUAGCCUGGACAUAUACAAACCAGAGAUGUUAGUAGUCAGUGACUGGAAGCCUGUGUGUCUGGAUACCUUCUUCCCGUCAAAGGUAAACAAGUCGAGAAGCUGGCCUGUGUCCAUACUGCUAAUGCUCGCGUUGUCCGCAUUGAUAACCGUGUUCGCAAUGGAAAGCUUGAAGCGUUGAAGGUUCAUGACCUUCUCCUCUAAAGUUCCACGCAUUAUCAGUCUAUGCACGUUAACCACCCGCCGUUGUCCAAGCCUGUGAGAUCUGUCCAUAGCCUGUAGAAAGAACAUUGAUAUCGACACUGUUGCAUCUCUGAUCAAGUUACCUGUAAAUCACGCAUAGGAUUCCAGUCAUGCUCCAUAAAUACAACCGUGUCUGCUGCUGUAAGGUUUAAUCCCAAGCCACCCACUUCACAAUGAAUAACCAUCAGGCCCCGAGAACAAGUAAAAUGCCGACGCUGUACCAUGUGUAGUGAGAAGAAGCACGUCUAUUGUUGGAUCAGAAUUGAAAGCCUUCACAAUCUCAAAACGCUUGCUAACGUCAACGGAGCCAUCGAGCCUCAUGUAUGUCACACUGAAUAUAAAAACAAGCGCUAGUUAGCCGGAGCUGAAAGAACACACUAACCUUUUCAUGUGUGUUUGAAACAAAUCCUUUUCAAUAAUGUCAAGAAAACCCUGCCAAAUCGAUGAUAAGCACUUACGCCUCUUCAUUUACCUUUACCUUUAGUUGUGCAAAGAUCAAAACACGAUGUUGUCCCCCGGCAGUAGAAUUAUCGCCGUUGCAUUGACCGAUGCCACAUUCUUCGAGAAUAUCUCGCAAGGCCAGAAGCUUUGGCGAGUUUUGAAUAUCAUGUAUAUCCAUGCUGCCAUUCUCCUCAUUGACGUUCUCUGACAGAGGUCCGUCUAGGACAAGAACAGGAUGACUGCAAACUUUUCGCAGGUAUUGCAGAGCCUGAGAAAAAGAAAAUAGAAGAUCAACUACACGCUAGUGAAGCACAAUAAAAAAAAGACCUGAAAGACGUGCGUAGGAGCUGACGUGUUUCCUCGGUCAUCAGCAUUUCCACCGUACGCCUCAACCAUGGUGGCCACAUUCUUCUUGGCUUGAGAAAAGGCAAACUUUUCAUAAAGUUUCAGCUGAAGCGGACUCAAGUCACAGUAACGGUCUUGAAUAAUUUUGGGAGGUAAAUCCGCUAGCACUUCAUCUUUUGUCCGGCGCAACAGAAAAGGCAUGACCUGAGUUAUAACAGGAUGAGCGAACGUAGUGACAAGGACGAAAUGUACCUGCUUGUGCAAGGCCUCCAUGGCUAACACCCCGGCCUCAGCUUCUUUCGCGGAACAUUUCGGAUCUCUUGCAGCUUGCAACGGUUUCCCAUAGCUACCAUGGAACUGGAACAAGAUGCCGUCAAACACAAGAAAAACAAUUAUACGUCAGCUAAACCUGGCGUUCAGUUCCAAGGAAACCCGGCAUAAGAAAAUCAAACAAUGACCAUAGUUCUAGUACAUUGUUCUGAAAUCAGAGCUUGGAUUAGUUGCGUUUAAGAAGCAGCGUCGACAUUUACCUGAAUAGGAGUACCGCUGAGAAUUAAUCUGUGCUCGGCUUGAAUUCUCUUUACAGCCAGAGUGAUUUUGGACUUCCCGCUUUUGAUGAUGUGUCCUUCAUCUAGGAUGCAGAAGUUCCACUGUAUUUGGCUCAGAUGCUCGAUGUCCUUUCGAAGCACAUCGUAAGAUGUGAUUAUAAUACUGUGAGCCGAGAACUGAUUGCGCAAGUAUAACCGAUCCUGAGGUUGCCCCACAUACUGCAAAGGUUUCAGAAGUUCGGCCGGUAUGAACUUCUCAAUCUCGUAUAUCCAGUGACCCACUAAUGUUGGUGGGCAUACUAUCAAAGAUAACGUCGACUCUUUCCCCUGGCCAGCAGCAAUACGCUCAGCCAUAUCUGAAGCAACAAUCGCAGAAGCUUGAAGGGUCUUUCCCAGACCCAUGUCAUCGCACAAAACACCAUGGAGCUUAAAACGCUUUAAGAAAGCUAGCCAGUUGAUACCUUCUUGUUGAUACCUGGUUAAAAGGACAUCGGUCAGUACAACCAACGAAAGCGAGCUAGGAGACAAGUACCUGCGUAGCGGAGUUUUUAAAUCAAACGCCAGCUUAUAGUCGUCGACGCGACUAUUAUCCAGUAAUUGUUCCAAAAACCUGGCAUCGUCUGAGUUACUUAGAGAGGAGAUACCUUCUGGCUGUGGUACCCCUCGAGCAAGUGGAAGAAGUGGAACCAAGGCGGCAAAACUGUGAGUCACGCUUUGCCUGACAACCUGGUUGCUGUCACCCAUGCAGCCCAGCAACGGAACGAUGAGAAACGGAGCGUAUCCUACGAGUUCCAUUCCCAUGCCUUCGACAAGAAACGUCACCAGCAUCCCUGCUCCUUGUCUUGCCUCCAUAGAUGUACCAUCAGUAAGCAUUGGCAUGGCUUUUGCUAGGACAGCAGUCAUGAUCGUCUCUUUCAAGGUUCGGGCCAUCGCUGUGAUACAUCUUGACGCACCACACCUUACAGCCGCAUGACGAUGUCGAACGCAGCCAAAUAUUGCAGGGAGGAGUGUUAAUAUCCUCGAUUGCAUGGCAUUUUUUAGGAAAGGAGCAGUAACGCGUAUAAGCUGCAGGUUGGUUUAGAGCGUCAUCAGGAGAAAAGGGAAUGAGAAAACAAAGAUAAGCAUACCUGCAGGUUGUUAACAAGCGCUUGAGGAUCGGCAACUGGUUCUACUAGAAACGCAUCAUGAAUAUGACCAGGAUCGGAAGGCUUGAUUACUUCAGUUAGGCAGUCCCAGAGCCUCGGAAGCUUUUCGAAAAGAGAAUCACCAAACCUCUGGCAAAGCGCCUUAAGUGCCAGUUCUGCACCACGUCUCGUAAUUAUUCCUUCAACCUUUGCUUUGUCGUCAAUGGAAGCAACUUCCAUCUUUCGUAACGCAGUCGAUGAAGAUUUCAAUGAAUAGUCACCAUCAUCGAAGGUCCAGGACGAGUUCGCUUCAGUCGCCAAUGGAGUUUCAAGCUGAUCAGCACAUGCCAUGGUAGACAGGUUUUUGAUAAGCUUGUCAUUAGGACACGGUUUCCGACCAACACAGUGUCCAAUCACUUCUGCCAAAGCUUCUCCUGCGCACUGCUGCAGUACUUCCUCCUAUAAAAACAAUUAAACAAGUUGCAAAUUACUCUGAAGAAGCUUCCGUAUUCACCUGUUCACGCUUGACGGAGCCCAUCAAAGGUUGGAUGAUAGGAUUCAGCUUCGACGGUAGCUCGCCCAUCCAUACGACCACACUAGCCAUCAAAGCCAAAACUGUGCCAUGCAGAUUAACCUGAGGCAAGAAUAUAGCCAUCAGCAACUGAAUGCAACAUAGUGACCAAAAGUUACCUGAACACAUUUUAGAUAGCCUGCGGUAGCAAGAAGACGCUGUCGAGCAGACUCCAUCAUGUCUCGAGCGGAGCAAGUUUUCUCAUCGGAAACUGCUCCAUUGCAUUCCUCCAAAGGAAUAAACUUCAUUGCAGCGUCUAUAGCAGCUUCUACGGACAUGUUUUCCACUGGUUGCAAGUCCACUGGUAAUCCAAAGUUCGAAGCCUCAGCAUGCUUAACGAGUGCGGCAACUUCCGCCCUCAUCUUAGCGUAAGUCCUCGAAAGUUCCGCGUAAGGCAAAGAAGAGUCCGGAGUCGGAUGCGAAGGCUCAAUUUGUAAAAGGAGCACUUGUAAAUAUGAUGUUAGAGGUCGAAAAGCAGAAAUCACCGGCGCCUUCUUCUCAACAGGAAAGGAUCUUACUUCCUUGAAGCAUGAUAUAAGAACCAUGGAUGCGACCUGUGAAAUAAAGAUUAAUGAAAGGUGAUCGACAAAACCUUGAAUAAACUAUACACACCUGUCUCUGGAUACCUGAGGGUGAAUGUAAAGCUUGGUUUAGAGCCUGAAAUAUAAGGUCCAGCAUUGAACCAGGUACGUUCCCAGCCAAAACUCCCAAGGCAGAUGUAGUGGCAAUCCUCAUAUAUACAGCAGAAUUCUCUCCGUCAGCACCAACAACUACUUUCGGAACCACGUCAGAAUGUUUUUGGGCUUCUGGACCAUGCGAGUGAGACUCUCCUCGGCUUAUAAGUUUAGAUGCACUUAGCUUAGCCACCACUUUAGAACGGCUUCCUUUUGGUAGAGACGUGGGCGAAAACAUAUUCGAGGCUUCCAAAGAAGCACCAGCCGCGGUGCUGGCAAGCUUCAGCCACGUUGGAAAGAAGGAUAGCGUCGAUGGUUGCAAAUGCGAAUGUGAACACUGCAAGCAUAUGUUAAACAAUAGUAAUAUUUAUAAUCAGAAAACAAAAGUACUACCUGAAUCAAUAGACGCCAGACGCGCCCAGAACACUGCAGAAUUUCUUCGUUUGAUUCCAUAAGCAAAUUCUGAAAGACCAUGCGCAGCAUAUCGUCAAGGAUGCGUAGAGCCCAACAUGUCGAUCCCGACUCCAGUAAUUGCUCCUAACACAGAAGUUAUACCAGCAAUUACGAAAUCUUGCGAAGAACGUACCAGAGUUCGAAUAGCAGCAUAUCUCACAGAUGAAAUAUUAUGCCGCAUAAAAGGCCAAAGCCGGGGGGCUAAGACAGAUAAAUCAUCCAAAUCCUGUUGUUGCUCGUCCAGAGCCAUGUCCGCAUUCAAGUCAAUCGAAGAGGUAGAAUUCAGUGGAAGUAACGCUUCAGGCUGUGAAUAAAGCUCAGCCAGAAGAUGCAUUACACUGCAGAGACAAUACAUUAGUCUCAAGCGUAAACAUCUUUUACUAGACCAACCUGUUAGUCGAAGGACUCAAGUCAUCCAGAUCAAGUAGAAUAUCCCACAGCAAGAUCAGGAUAGUUUUUACCAGAUGACUCGCAUGAGUCACAAUUGCGCGGGCAGCUGGAAACAAAGCGUCUGCUGCAACUGAUCUCACGUCGUCAUCAGGAUCUUCAAGUCCAGCUAUACAGGCAGGUAAAACCCGAGGAAGAAGUUCACCUAUCAUUUCCUGCAUGUAGCAGCAACAAAACUUUCAAAAUAAAUAAAACCCCUUAUGAAAACACUUAAAACGUAGAAAACAAAGACUACCUGUCGGACUGCCACCAGGUACUUGAUGCCCAAUAAACUGCCAUGUCUGACCUCCCACUCUGAACGCCGCUGUAAAUAGCUUAUACGGACAAGCAUUGUCAAAAUCAGUAUGAAAAUUCAGGUAUGAGUUGCACCGUGAGAUUACCUGCAUCUGAAGAAGGAUACUGAAAGUUUCAUGAACUAGUGGCGAAUGCAUUUGCUUGAGCACCGCACCCAGAACUUGAGCACAAGUUUCUCGCACAGGCGCAACCACUUGGUCCGAAACAAAGUCACCAAAUCUAAAAACCAAAAAACAAAAUAUAAAUAAAUAAAUAAAUAAAAAGAUACACGCGAUGACUUACCGAUCAAGAGAAAAGAUACAAAUAAGCCGAAUAGUGCAAUCUUGAAGAAACUCCGAGUUUGCUCGCCAUGCUUCUUGUGCAGCAGCCACUUCUUUAGAGAUACAUGCCGCUUUCGGGUCAUUCUCUGUUGAGGCGACCCCUUUGACCUCUGGAACGUCUUGGUUGAGAUCUAGCUCCCCUUUGACAGCAAUAUCCUUCCGGUCAUUCGUGUUCUCCAUUUCCUGUUCCUCAGUCUUCGGCUGGUCAGAUACAAUCUCCUCUGCUUCGCUUUUCCCGUCGAAAACUAGUUCCAUCUUCUCUGCAUCACGCUCCAUCUUGUCUCCGCCCUUCUGUUCCUCCUUUUUAACGUCGGAAACUAGUUCGUUCUUUUGCUCCACCUUUGUUUCCUGAGAAGGCUCCAAUUUAGUAUCAACAACUGCCUCCUGGCCUUUGGUCUCCACUCUGUUUGCUGUAAAUGUUGAAGAUGUUUCAGGAGCAGUUACGGCAGCAGAAGCUGCUUGUGAGCUUAAUAUUUCUCUAAGCGCCAUGAUACUACCAUGGCGAAUUUCCCAGACUGCGUAUGACAAAAACCAAAAUGGUCAUUGACGCUCCCAAAAUUGCAGACACACAAAUUACCAGGAUCGAAAAUAUCAUGCAUGAGAGCCUCCACAAAGCGGGAAAAUGGCCAGCGACCGUCGGCAAAAAUGUCCUGACCGUCCUCCUCUAGCACAGAAUCUAACACGAGCUGCGAAAGCACCGGUUAGCUACAAACAACGAAGCGCUAUAGAAUACCUUAUCAGUUUGUUGUUGUGAUUGCUCAUUCACAACAGAUUUAGGACGCUUGUUACUAGGCUCUUCUAGCUCCGCUUCCUCCUUCGAUCCAUCUUUGACAAAAAAUUUAGCUUUGCGUUUAAGCAUGUUCUUCUCUCUCGCACUUAGUGUCCUUGGAAGGACACCCGGAACCAUGUUGGCAACCAAUUGUUGAACUUCCUGCCGCUGGUACACAUGAUUGUGAAUGCUACUAUCGCCAACUGGUGUUCUCUGCAUCAUGAGAUCCUCGUCACGAAUCAUGUCAUUAACAUCGACGAACUCGUCUAGUCCUGACCAAAAGAAAAGACAUAUUAAGUCGGCCUUUCUCCGACGAUACAAGUAAAGCUUUUACCCAGUCGGCGACGCAGAUUUUGCUUUUGGUGUGCCAGCCUUUCCACUGAAGUCUUUGUACUGUCGAGCGAAACAUCAAAUUCCUAGUAUGUACAAAGCGUCGGCCAAAGGACUAAACAACACAAAAACUUCUAAAGAUGCCAACCUGACCACCGGAUGCAAGCAAUAGCCGGCCCGACUCCAAAACCUUGUGAACAUCAAACCUGGCGAUAAAACCACCGUUAGGCGCAGCGCAAACACGAUGUCGGAGAAAUGUACCUACUGAACGCCAGGCCUGGCGAUGGCUGCUUCUCCCCGCUAGCCGUCAAGACAUUCUCUAGAUUCAAAGUGGUGCACCCCAUCCUUUGGAUGUUCUUCUGUGCUCUAGCGACAAGCUCCCUCACAGUUACAUGACUCACAUUCUCGGCGAUGGAUCCAAUUGCAUGAGCGGCGGCCACACGCGUUUCCCAGCUCUUGCUUCGGAGGAAGUGCCCAACCUGUCACAAAGCCAAGUUUGUAGCGCGCAUGAAUGGAAAAGGCAGAAACAAACACACUCUUUUCAGGAGAGCUUGCAAUUCAGUGGGGUGCUGCUUCGCAAUCUCGCCAAUCUGCUUCGCAGCAGUGAGCCUCGUCGCGGAAGUGGAUCCAGCUGCGAAAUUCCAUUCACAAACACAAAGAGAUCGGCAAAAAAGUACGAAAGAGGGACGAAUUCACGUACUGUCGAGGAGCGUCAGCAGCCGAUUCAACCGAGACGAUUGCUGCUGCUGCUGCUGCUGAGCCAUGCCGCCCCACCCUAGUCCGCUCCAAUCGUCAAGAGCUGCCGAUGGCGUCGCCUAGCCCAGCGGCACAAGCGCGCUGCCCUGCCCUGCCAUCGCUGGAAGAAGCCCUAACCCUAGCCAAGCACCAAUUAAAUUUAACUCGUCAUUCAAACGAUCUUCCAAUGUUCGCGAGGAGCACGAAGGGCCCAGCCUCGCCGGGAGGAUCGAGCUCAAACAUUCUAUCGGCCGCACGCGCAGCGCGAUCGAGAUCGGGGUGGAUAUGGCACGCCGCCAGGAGCGUUCCCCAGGCGAUGGAAUCGGGGGCGUGUGGCAUCUGGGCGAUCAUCCCCUCGGCCUCUUCCAGCUCCCCGGCGCGGCCGAGGAGAUCGAUCAAGCAGCAAAAAUGCUCUCGCAGUGGCGCGACCUGGUAGUCGGCGAUCAUCGCCACGAAAUGCUGGCAUCCAUCGCGGACGAGACCGGCGUGGUUGCAUCCGCUCAAGAUGCUCCCAAACGCGAGCUCGGUGGGCUGGAAGCCCUCCUGGACCAUCGCACGGAAGAACUCCAUCGCCAAUCCGCAAUGCCCAUUGUGGGCAUAGCCGCCAACGAUGGAGUUCCAGGAGACUACGUCCCGCAGCGGCAUGGAAUCGAAGAUCUCGAGCGCUCGAUCCACCAAACCGUGAUGAGAGAAAGCGCCCAGGAUUGCGUUCCAGGAUAUCGUGUCGCGGCAAGGCAUGAGAUCGAAGCUCCUUCUCGCAUCCCGCAAGAAGCCAUUGAGAGCAAAUGCAUCGAUAAGAGCAUUCCAGGCAGCGGGAUUCCUCUCCGGGAUGCGAUCAAACGCCGAUUUCACCUCGUCGAUUCGCAGCAGCUGUGCGAGCGCAUGGAUCCGCGACACCCAAGACGCGAGAUUGUGAUUUGGAGCGCGCUCAAACGCGAUCAGUGAGUGCUCCAGCUCGCCAUUGGAAACCAAUGCCGCUGUCACCGUGUUCCAGCUCCCAGCAUCCCUCGCCGGCAUUCUCUCGAACAUCUCCUUCGCUCCCGCCACACUGUCGCUCACUGCGAUCAUCGCAUUCCAAGACACCACGUCGAGCGCCUCCAUCUUCUCCAAGAACAUCGAUCGCGCAGUCUCGCGGCAGCCAUUCUGGGCGAGCGCGACGAUCAUCGCAGUCCAGCACACGGCAUUGUGCUCGGGCAUUCGAUCAAAAACUUCUCUCGCAUCAUCCAAGCUCUCGCUCUGCGCAUGCGCCUGGAUCAUCGUCGUCCAAGUAACGAUGUUCCGCGACACCGUCUCUUGGAAGAUUUUCCUCGAAUCGCCCACAUACCCGGCCUGGGCAUACCCCUGGCACAAGGCAGUCCAAGUGACAACGUCAUGCUCUGGCAUCAUCUCGAUCACUCUCUUUGCUCGAUCCAAAUGCCCACUCUCGGCCAGUCCCUGGAUCACUGAUGUCCAAGAGACAAUGUUCCUCUGGAUCAAUCCCCCAAAGAUCUCCCAUGCUUGCUCGAUCUGCCCGGCCUGGGCAUAUCCAGCAACGAGGCAGUUCCACACGGCCGUGACGACGAUGCCACAUGUGCGUGCCAUCUUGUCCAGCAUGGCGCUUGCCUCCCCGAGAUAUCCUAGGUGACAGUAGACGUGGACGAGCGUCGUCCACGUCACAACGUCGUGGUGUGGCAUAAGAUCGAAUGUUCUUUCCGCCUCGCUGCAAUCUCCAGAUUGGGCAUUUGCUGCAAGCCAGGUGUUCCAUGAGACUACGUUUCUCACCGGCAUAAAAUCAAACAAGUUCUUCGCUUCAUGCAACCGGUUGUGUUGCGCCAUUGCUCCCAUUGCGGUGUUCCAGGAAAUCACAUUCUUCUCCGGAAGCUUUGCGAAUUCUUCUUUCAAAAGAUCGACAUCUCCCUGUUGGGCAUACGCCAGGAUCAUAGUGUUCAGCGACACAAUGUUCCAUUUCGCCAUUCGACCAUAGGAUUCCUUCGAUUCAUUCAAGCAGCCGUUUUGUGUGUAAGCUUGCAUUAUAUAAUUCCAGGUCACCACGUCUCUCUCGGGCAUAGAAUUAAAGACACUUCUCGCGUUCUCCAAAUCCCCGGUUUGGGCAUAUGCCUGGAUCAUCGUCGUCUGCGACACUAAAUCCCAGUGAUUCAUUCUGUUAUACAAAUCACUGGCUUGGUCGCAGUACCCAUGCCGGGCAUAUCCAGUGAGAAUGGCAUUCCAUGUAACACCGUCUCGGUGCCCUGCUAGAUCAAACAAGUUCUUCGCUUCCUCCAAAUGGCCUCGAAAGGCCAUUGCUGUGAUCAUCGCAUUCCACGAGAAAACAUUCCACUGCGGAGUGCGAUCAAAGCAAGAUUUCGCGUCCUCGAGAUGGGAGCCUUGCACAAAUGCCGCUGUGAGGCAAUUCCAAGACACGGAAUCGCGCUCUUCCAUCUGGAGAAAGAUCUUCCUUGCCGAAUCAAUAUGCCCAUUCUCGGCAUACGCCUGGAGGUAGAUGUUCCACGAGAACUGGUUGGGCUGAUCGAUGCCGCUAAACACCUCCGCUGCGUCCUCCACGCAGCCGCAUUUCCCAUACAUCUGGACCAGGAGGUUUGCGAGGAAUUUGUUGCGCUUGCAGUGAUCGAUGCCCAAGAUCUGGCUGUGCGCUCUCCUCCCGCGCUCCAAAUCCCUGGCAUUCCCACAAUCUCGGAGGAUCCGCGCAAGAGCAUCCUGCUCGUCACGCUCGCAAGCCCUAAUUCCACUCGAGAAUCUUCUAACUGCAACGUGGAAGCUCGUGAGCAUAGCCCGAUUAGCAUUCGAGCGGCAUUUAAUUCAACGGUGGAAACGCUGUCCACGUGGCAGAAAGAUAAGCCCGCGAAGCGACGCUAUUGGCCAGAAGCCCGUGUGUGGCGCGCACCGGCCCGUCAGGCGACGGCCGCAGCACAAGUUCCACCACAACAAUACCCGUCACGCUCGUCCCCGCCCGUCACUCUCUAUCUUCAAGAACCAAGGUGCGCUCUUUCUCUCCUCUAUAACGCGGGCUCCUUUCUCCUUUCUCUCUUUGUAGCACCGACGAGCUUCCUUCGAUCCCAAUGGCGUCGAUUCUCGCCGCAACGUCGUCGGCAGCGUCCGCUGUGCGUCUACCAAUCGUCGCGGCAUCGCCCACCAAGAUCUCCACCAAAUCCCUGUCCCCGGCACCGAUCUCACUCGCCAAGAAGUUUGGUCUGUCCAGCAGCAGAGCUAGAGUAGUCGCCAUGGCCAAGUACAAAGUCACGCUCAAGCUCGAGGAUGGCAGCGAGAAAACAUUCCAGUGUCCCGACGACGUCUACAUUCUCGACGAGGCGGAGGAGCAAUCCAUCGACUUGCCAAGCUCUUGCCGUGCCGGCUCCUGCUCUUCGUGUGCAGGAAAGGUCGUCAGCGGCAGCGUGGAUCAAACGGACCAGAACUUCUUGGACGACGAUCAGAUCGGGAGUGGAUUCGUUCUCACUUGCGUUGCGAGGCCAACCAGCGACGUUGUCAUCUUGACCCACCAGGAGGAUAACAUCUAGAGAAGGAAAAGUAAUUUUUUCCUUCCUCUGGCUGUUCGUUCUGGGAGAUCUGUCGUCGCUACUCUUUGCUGUAUGAUUUUAUCUGUAGCCUUUGCAAAACGAAACGAUCCUCACUUAGCUUAUGAUUCCGAAUUCCCCAAUGAAUUGAAUCCUUACCACCCGUGUAACUAGACUUCUCUCAGUCCUUUGCAACGUUGUUUACAGCGGCCUCCUUCUCUUUCACUGGCGUCGUCUCUAGGACCUCUGAAGGAGCUGGAGAGGGAGUCGUCUCUACCUCUGAAGGAGCUGGAGAGGGAGGCGUAUCAUCUCCCGACGAUGAAGCAACGACCACAGAGCUGGGAUUCACCUCUUCUGGCUUCGUCUCUUGCGCGUCUGCAUUCUCCUUCUCUUGUUGCAUAAGAUUGAGCUGGGCUGUGAGCUCGUCCACCACAAAGUUCUCAUUAACCGGUGGUGGUGCUCGUUUAGGCGCUGUUGAAUAAGAGUAGCAUUGCAACUUAGAAAACGAUGUCUCAGAAGAACUUACACUCCGCGGGUUUCUUCAGCUCGUCCAGACCAAUUUCCUUUUCCAAAGUUUGCUUGAAUUCUUUCGAAACCUCCUGCAAUUUACAAAUCAAUGAGCUCACAUUUCUUUCUAUCGUUCACCACACACGAACCUGGAGCUCCCGUAUAGUUGGCUGAAAUGCUCGCAAUGACUGUCCCAGCGACCGGGCAAUCUACACACACUGCUCCCGGCUUAGCGGGCUAAACAUCCCCCAAAAGAAAGAACUCAUACCUCAGCCAGGCCUUUCGGUCCGAACACGAGAAGCGCCACCACGGCAAUGACGAUAACUUCCGGAGCUCCAACACCAAGCAACGAAGAUCUCACAACACCUCUGUAGGGCCGAUUGGAGGAUCUGUAUCUAGCUACAAAGACGCGAAGAACAUCAAUGCCAGAUAUUUCAUGAUUUCCAGCGACGACCGACCUCUUGAGAGCAGCAACGAGCAAUCCAGCUUAUUUUGAUGAACCCAGGAGCUCCAAGUGCUUGUGUAGCAGAGACCGGCCCUUGGAAAGAUCAGCUUCGAGCAGCAAGCCCUGGCGCCUCCGCCACGACCCCUGGAGCUAUGAAUCGCUAGCCGGAACCCAUUCCUAGAAUGCUGCUCCGUCAAGGCAGCUCCAGCGCCAGCCAGCGGCGCCAUCGCCACGGAGAUCAUGUUCUCCGUCCAGCCCAGGAACCCUAACUACAGGAUGUAAGAUUAAAAUCUGCCACGUGGCAUUGAGAUCAAUCUAUCGAUGCCAAAUCAUGACACGUGGCUAGCUCUCCUGCGUCAGUGUGUUCUUGGAAGAACGCUGCUCGAAGGUCGACAACUCCACGCGCGGCUCGCCGAUCUCGGUCUCGAUCGAGAUGCGCUGUUUGGAAAUCUGCUCGUCCGAUUGUAUGGCAGCUGCGGAUGCCCGGAUGAAUCGCUCCAGGCCUUCGAUGCGAUCGCCAUCGGCAAGAAUGUCUUCUCCUGGAAUAUGGCGCUGGCUUCUCUCGCUCGCAACGAUCCAUCCCUCGAUCGAGCGCGGCGGGUCUUCGAUCACAUCCCGCAGCGCAGCAUCGCGAGCUGGAACACGCUCUUGGCGGCGGUUGUGGAUUCCAGGGAUUUGCACGGCGCGGCGCUCCUGUUCGAUGAAAUCCCCGAGCCGGAUCUCUUCUCCUGGACGACGAUGCUCACGGCGCUGGGCGGCCAUGGCGAUCUCGAUCGAGUGAUGUGCUUCUUCGAUUCCAUGCCGGAGCGCGGGAUCGUUUCCUGGAAUGUGGUGCUCCAAGAACAGGCACUCAAUGGGCAACUGGAAAUCGCCGAGCAAGCGUUUGCCAAGAUGCCACAGCACAGCGCCAUAUCUUGGAACUCGAUGAUCACAGCAUUCUCCAAGAGCGGCUAUCCCCUGGAAUCCAAGAUUCUGUUCGAUGAUCUUCCAUGCCGCAAUUCAGUUUCUUGGGGCGCUGCGAUCACCGCAUUUGCCGAGAAUGGGCAUCUGCUACAGGCAUCGGAGAUAUUCUCCAAGAUGCCGCAGUGGGACGUCUUUGCCUCCAACGUGAUCAUCCAGGGCCUCGCGGAUUUCGGCGAGGACAAUCGCGAUCUCCACCAGUUCUUCCAGAAAAUGCCCCACCGUGACAUCGUCUCUUGGAACGCAAUGGUCUCGGCCAGUGCCCAGCGCGGCGAUUCCCUCCAGGCAGAGCUUUUCUUCGAUCGAAUGCCGCAGCACGAUUCAAUCUCCUGGAGCUCGAUGCUCCAGGCGCACGUCGAAUCCGGCAACAUCGACGCGGCGCAGGUGGUAUUCGAUCGAUCGCCCCACCGCGGCCUGGUGUCCUGGUCGGCGCUCGUCACGAUCUACGCCCAGGCCGGGCUCCUGGGCGAGGCCACGCGCCGGUUCCACGCCAUGCCCCAGCGCAAUCUCAUCGCCUGGAACGUCUUGAUCCAGGCGCACUCCCACGCCGGCGAUCUCCACAGCGCGGCCGCCGUCUUCGAUCGAAUGCCCCGCCACAGCACCGCCUCCUGGAACGCGAUGAUCGCCGCCGCCACUGCCCAGCUCCAGAUCGCCGAGUCCCUCUUCCUCCAUCUCCCCCAGUGCAACGUCGUCUCCUGGAACUCGAUCAUCGCGAGCUUCGUCCACAACGAUCGCCUCGACCGAGCGCUGGAAGCGUUCGAGCGCCUCGCAGCUCGCGACGUGGUCACUUGGACGGUGCUGGUGACGGGGCACUGCCAGCUCGGCAGCGUACGGGACGCCCACUCCACCUUCCGUGCAAUGCCGUGCCGUACGGUCGUGGCCUGGAACUCUCUCCUCCAGGGCUAUGUCUCUUGCGGGCUUUUGGACGAGGCAAGCAAGAGCUUCGAUCGAAUGCCCGCCAGGAACUUGGUGUCCUGGACGGGGAUCAUCUCCGGGUAUGCCCAUCUCGGCUAUAUCGAUCGAGCAAAGGAGACCUUUGAUCGAGCGCCGGAGAGGGACGUGAUCUGCUGGAACGCCUUGAUCACAGCCUACGCCAUGAAUGGCUACAGCAUCACGGCGCUCAAGCUCCUGCCGGUGAUGGAUUCCGAUGGAGUCGAGCCCAAUGCCGUGACUUUCAUGGUGCUCAUUGAUGCCUGCUCCACUCUCGCGUCUCUGGCCGAUAGCAAGAUGGUUCACAGCUGCGUGAGGGACGAUUCACGGCUGCUCGAGGGUGAUGUUCUCCUGCAAACUUCGCUCGUCAACAUGUAUGGAAAGUGUGGCCACCUUGACGCUGCGAGGGAGAUGUUUGAUGAUUUCCCGGACAAGUGCUUGGCGCUGUGGAACACGAUGCUGUGCGUCUAUGCCCAGAACGGGCAUACCGAUCAAGCCAUGGAUUUGUUCCAGCUGCUGCUCGUCGAGGGAGUGGAGCCCGACAGGAUAACUUACGUUGGCAUUCUCUCGGCGUGGAGCCAUGCCGGGGUGGUGUGGUACGAGUUCCUGCGGUCACUAGAGCCUGACUUUGGUGUCACUCCCCCGCUGGAUUUCUACGUGUGCGUGAUUGAUAUCCUGGCACGCACGGGUCAGCUGGAACUUGCCGAGGAUCUCAUCUUCAACAUGCCUUACGAGCCGAAUGAAGUCGCGUGGACUUCGCUCCUCGGGGCAUGUCGUAGCUACGUCGAUCGCGAUCGAGCAGCUCGGGUUGCCGAGAGGAUGAACUCGUACAAUCCGGCAACGUACUUGCUGCUCUCCAAUCUCCACUCCCUUCCUCCUUGAUCAUCGAACCAAGGAAGGACGAAGAAUGGAGGUGGAGGAACUUCGAAACUUUGAUAGUAGCUCCUCAGCCAGCAGCAGCAGCCAUCUCGUCAAGUUCUUCGCUCACGUAAACGUUGCACAGAACAACGUAUGGCGACGAGUCGCCCGGAGUGAGCUCUAUCGAUCCUUGCGCCGCUCUCUCGGCGCGGUGGAUGUCGCCAUGGAUCUUACACGAGCCGAGCAGCGUCAUCCACUUCUUGUCAUCGGGAUAAAACGGCAUCGUCCUCACGUACUCCUCGGCGAAGUCGAGCCAUCCAACUCUGGCCAGCAGAUCGAGGAUGCAUCCACAGUGCUGGAACCGACACUCGAUGCCAAAGUCGAGGAGCAUGGAGACGUAGAACUGGUGUCCGUCAGCCAGCAUCCCGGCGGAGUUGCAAGCGAAGAGAACUCCCACGAAAGUUAUCGCGUCGGGGUAGACACCCUCGAGCUGCAUGGCGAAGAAGAGCUCCAGCGUCGACGAGCUCUCGCUAAACUGCGAGAAAGAUCCGAUGAGCGAGUUCCAAGUCGCCUUGUCCUUCUCGAGCAUCUGAUCAAACACCGACUUGGCAACCGCGAGGUUCCCACAGGUGCCAUACAUGUCGACGAGCGCGUUUCCAACGUUGAGAUUGAUCUCCUGGAAUCCACUCUGCGUGAUCUUCUCGUGGAUGAAUCGCCCCUCUCGGAGAUCCGUGAGGCUGGCGCAGGCGUUGAGACAGAUCAAACAGGUGACGCAGUUGGGCUUCACUCCAUCCAGUUGCAUCAUCCGGAAGAGCCGCAGCGCUUCUCGUGCUUGAUCGCUCUUGACGUAGGCCGAGAUCAUCGCAGUCCAAGUGAUCACGUCGGCGAUGGCGCCCAUGCCAUCAAACACCGCUCUAGCUUCGUCCAGGCUCCCACACUUCGUGUACAUGUCCACAAGGCACGUCGCCACCGAGACCUCCUUGUCCAUCGCAGCGUCGAUCAAGCUCCGGUGGAUCGUUCUACCGAUAACGAGCUCCCUCUCGCCGAUGCAAGCGUCAAGAACAGCCAGGAAGGUGAUCCGGUUGGGCUGGAUCCCUUCGUGGUGCAUCCGCUGAAGCGAAACGAUCGCGAGAUCCAAAUGCCCGUGCUGGGAAAAUGCCGAGACGAGCAGUGUCCACGACACAACGUUCUUCUCCACGAUCUCGGCGAAGAGGGCGAUGGCGUCGGCGAGAGAUCCAAGCUUGCAGUAGGUGUUGAGCAGCGCGUUGUGGAGAUCGGCGCUACACACCGCUGCGAGGUGGGCGAUGCUGGCGUAGAUGCCCUUGGCGGUGGCGAUGGAGCCGAUUCGCGUGCAAGCAUUGAAGACCGUGACGAAGGUGGAUCGAUUGGGCGCGGUUCCCUCGAGCUGCAUCACGCGGAAGAGAUGGAUCGCCUGCUUGGAUCGGCCAUUGAGGAUGAAAGCCGUGAGAAGCCCAUUCCAGCAGGCCUGGUUGAGCUCCUUGAUCUUGGCGAAGACGGCCAGCGCCGCGUCGGGAUCGCCACACUUGGCGUACAUGAAGAUGAGGAAGGAGGAGAGGCUGCGCUCGCCCUCGAGCUUGAGCGCCACGAUCCGGGAGUGCACGAAGCGGCCAUCGGGCAGGGAUUUGCAAUCGCUGCACAGGACGAGCGCGCUCUUGAUCGUGUCGAAGUCGACGCGAUUCCUCUCGUCUCUGAGGUAGUCGAUCACGCCCGCUAGCUUCGCGCGGACUGCCGCGAUCGGUGGCCUGUGCUCCGCGAGGAGUGAGAUGCGCCUGAUCGAUCCCUUUGCCGGGCGGGGGCGGCCAGCGCGCGCAAUUCGAACCCAUCGCAUCUAUAGAUGCCCUUUCAAUUUCUAGGGUUCUUGGAAGUCAAACACGACCGUUGCAUUGACUGUCCAGGGCAUUGACUCUAUCCGACGGCGGCAGCUCGCCGUCAAAGACAGGCUGUAGAUUUUGACGGCGGCGAUAAAAUCCGGUCAGAAGAUUAGGUCGGUUGUGAUUGGCGGCUGGGUUAGGGUUCUAGCGAGUGUUAGGGUUUUACCUCGCGCGAGGCGCGUAGAUUUCUCUGUUCGCAUUCUCUUUCCCAAGAGCGCUCGAUUCCUAGCGUGAGAGAGGAAGCGAUGUCGGACGCGGCGGAGAAGAAGAGUGGCAAGGUCAAGUGGUUCAACAGCGCCAAGGGCUUCGGCUUCAUCACUCCCGACGAUGGCGGCGAGGAUCUCUUCGUCCACCAGUCGUCCAUCCACGCCGAUGGCUUCCGCUCACUCAAGGACGGCGAGGCGGUAGAGUUCACCAUCGAUCGCAGCGAAGAUGGGCGCACGAAGGCGCUCGAUGUCACUGGCCCCGAGGGCUCCUUCGUCCAGGGCGCCUCUAGGCGCGACGCCGGUGGCUUUGGCAGCGGCGGCGGCGGUGGCGGUGGCUUUGUCGGUGGUGGCGGCGGCGGCGGCUUUGGCGGAGGAAGGGGCGCGGACUCUGGCCGCGGCGGCGGAGGAAGAUUUGGCGGUGGUGGUGGCCGCAGUGGUGGCGGUCGAGGCGAUGGAUGCUUCAAGUGCGGCCAGAGCGGCCAUAUCUCGCGCGAUUGUCCCUCUGGCGGCGGCGGUGGCGGUGGAAGAGGCGGCGGCGGCGGUGGAAGGAACUGCUACAAUUGCCAGCAGUCGGGCCACAUAGCCAAGGACUGCCCCAAUGCUCCCCAGUGAUGAUCCGGCGCGGGCGUUUGGAUGAAUGAUCAUCGUUUGCAGUGGCAGCACUCGUCGAUCGUGAUCAUCAUCGCUGCUUCUUAGUUUUUCUCUCUGGUUUCCUUCUGGUUGUUUCUUCGUUUGGUUGAUUGCUGCUGCUGCUACUCACUCACUACUAUCAAGUCUCUUUGCGAGGGAUUUAAUCGACGUUUUUGUGGAAGGCUCGAGCUGUGGAGAGCUGUGGAGUCCUUCCUCCAACGCCUUGUAAUCCAUUGUCCCAUUUUUGCCUUGAUUGAUGAAUAGGAAAAAAAUCUCUCCCCCAAAAGUUCCAAGAAAAUGGAAGUGUUUAAGACAAUGUUCUUCGUUUUUGCUGCCCACAUAGCUCUCAUCACUUUUAACGUCUCUACGACCAAAGCUCUUACGUAGCAAGUUGCGCGUCACUGUCCCACUGACAAGAUCCGCGAUGUAGAUCUCGCCGUAUUCCGGCCCGGAAGAUGGGCAUAAUCGCCCACGGGAUGGACGGCUGCGAUGCGCUACAUUCUGGCCACAGAGCGCCGGGAAUAUUCACGCCUUGUCCAAACGGAAUGUUCUCGUGAAUAUCCGGUGUGAUUGUAAAGAGUUAUCGUUUGUGUGGCUAGGCACAGCUUCUCCCUCGAUCGGCAGCUAUGGCGGCCCUGGCGGCGGCAUCGGUAGCGGCGAUUCAUUCAUCACAUUCCCUAGGGCAGUUGCCACCGGUGGCGGAGCGGAGCGAUCGAGUCGGAUUUCCUGGCGCGAGCAAGGUGAGGGAAAUUUGAUUCGAUUCCUGCCAGAGAGAGAUUGCUCUGGCUUGCUUCUCCCGAGGAUCCAUAGAUACUGCUGCUGCGCUGCAUUGCGGUGCUGAGAAUCCGUGCCUGUUGGAACGAGUGAAGAAAUAUUUUGCCAUGAAUUCUCGCGCUCGCGAUUUGAAUGCUUGCCUUGCAGUGCGAUCCCGUCGUUUUCUACUUGUGACGCCAUCUGCAUCGAAAGCUCAGCUGCAUUGUCUCAUUCUUGCCCUGUCGAUCGAUUCUUUUCUUUUAUUUUACGCCCUUCCUCCUUUGCAGUCCUUCUUUGGAGGGAAGAUCUCAUCGUCGGAUCUAACGUACACCCACAGGCCAUCUCCUUCGACUUGGAACUUUUCCGUGAGAGCAGCGGCGGUGUCCACUGAAACUGUGGAGAAAGUGAAGAAGAAAGACGAGGAAGGAGUUGUCACCAACUUGUUUAGGCCGAAGGAACCUUACGUCGGGCGAUGCCUCCUCAACACCAAAAUUGUGGGAGAUGAUGCUCCUGGAGAGACUUGGCAUAUGGUUUUUACGACCGAAGGUACGUGCGUUUCAUGUGAAAAAUCAAGUCCCUUGUGGAUUCGAUCACUUGUAACACUGGCUUGUCUCCAGGAAAAAUUCCAUACCGAGAAGGCCAGUCCAUUGGAAUUGUCCCGCCCGGAUUGGAUGCCAAGGGAAAACCUCAGAAACUUCGACUUUACUCCAUUGCUAGCAGUGCUCCAGGGGACUUCGGCGAUUACAAGACUGUAAGUUUCCUCUCUCUUUUUUUUUUGUUUGGAAAUUCAACGAGUUCUCAUCGAGCUUCAGUCUUAUCUUCCUCGCAGGUGUCUUUGUGCGUGAAGCGCCUCGUGUACGUGAAUGACAAGGGAGAGGAAGUCAAGGGCGUGUGUUCCAACUUUCUCUGUAAGCAAAGCUCUCCUUCCAACGACAGUUCACAUCAACCAAACAAGUUUUGCAGGCGAUCUCAAGCCAGGAGAUGAAGUCAGCAUAACUGGACCUGUUGGGAAGGAGAUGCUCAUGCCAGUCGAUCCAAACGCCACAAUUAUCAUGGUACAACAAAUCCAUUUCCGAGGAUUUCACGUCUGACACUCCUAUUGCUUUUUUUCUUUUCAUCAGCUUGGUACUGGUACUGGUAUCGCACCCUUCAGAGGCUUUUUGUGGCGGAUGUUUUUUGAGAAACACGACGACUAUAAGGUGAGUUCUCUAGAUAAAAGGUCUCUUCUCAAAAGUAAACAAGAAUGUUGGCUUUGGCAGUUUAACGGGCUAGCCUGGUUGUUCUUGGGAGUUCCAACUAGCAGCUCACUACUGUACAAAGAGGUGCGGCUUUGAGCUUUCGUGCUAUCUAUGCAUAAACUUGCCAUGUUUUUCAAUCUCUCAGGAAUUCGAGAAGAUGAAAGAAAAGUUUCCAAACAAUUUCAACCUCGACUUCGCAGUGAGCCGCGAGCAAACAAACGCCAAGGGCGAGAAGAUGUACAUCCAGACGCGAAUGGCCGAGUAUGCCGAGCAGCUUUGGGACCUCCUCAAGAAGGACAACACCUACGUCUAUAUGUGCGGCUUGAAAGGAAUGGAGAAAGGAAUCGACGAUAUCAUGACCAGCCUCGCAGCCAAAGAAGGUAACGAUUGAGAUUUCAUUCAUACAUUUCUAGCUCUCAAAAUUCGUGACCACAGGGAUCGACUGGGCGGAGUAUAAGAAGCAGCUCAAGAAAGGCGAGCAGUGGAACGUCGAAGUCUACUAAACAAAGCUUCGCUCGCGAAAUCGCUUGAUGCAAUGCCGCAGCAUUUGUCGAAAGCUCCUUGUAAAAGUGACACGUCAUUUUGCCACGUCGCUUAAACUAGACACGUCAAUGGAUACUUACGCGUUGGCAGCCACGGUGGCAUAAAGUGUUGGAGAUCUAUUUCUAGGGUUUAUCCGCGCGAGAGAGAGAGGGACGAUGCCGCGGCGAUGGGUGGAGCCUCCCGAGUAUCCGGUGAUUUACGAGUUCCCAAAGGUCAGCGCCGUCGUCUCCAAUUUCAGCUUCCGCGACAUGAUGCACAUUCUCACCUACACCUCCGCCUCGGUUCCAUUCGGCUAUCUCGCCGGUAAGUGCUUGAGAAAUGUAGCUCUGGGGGAUGAUCUUGUGUGGGUCUUCGAGCGAAAUCUUCGAUUCGUGGACGUGAUUUCUCGUUUUCCUGCCUAUGUGCGUCUGGGAUUUCUGUUUGGGCAGAAAUUUGUUAAGUUUUCGUGUCUUUUCUAGGAUGUGAUUUUUUUCUUUCCUGGAUGUUUUAGGAGCGAGCGCCAGGGUGAAAGGUCCAGCGAUGGUGGUGGCGGCACUCACAGGACUCCAGGCCGGAUACAUGGUGGCUUACAUCUAUUCCAAAGGCAGGCUCAUGGGGAUCUUUCCCAACGACGAUGAAGUUGCGAGACUGGGAAUGUCAACCAUGAGCAUAUCGUGAUCCAAGCUCCACCUCUUUUGCUUGACGGUGUGAUUCAAAACAAGAAACAUAGAAGAACUUCUCGAAACCAAUAACCAUUCAUUUUCAAGUAAGCAUUUGCGUUUUUCAUCUUUCUCUCGGUCGUAUCAAAUUUUGGAUCAUCAUCCUCCAGUCACUCAUGCGAUAGGACCAUUAUCCACAUCCUCCCUCACCUUCUUAGUGGUAGCACUUCAGCAUCACUGCCUUCAACCCAGCAAGGCUUGAAGGAUCCAAGAUCCCAUUCUGCCAUGAUCAAGAGUCUUGUGUCUAAGGAUCAUUGCCUUAAUUUUUAUUUUCAACCACAUGGAGUCUCUCAUUUUUGUUUUUUUUUUCUUUUAAGUGUGGACUUCAGUAGAAAUUUUACUUCAUUGAAAAUGAUCAGGGUAAUUUAAUUGGGUGAUUUCAUAAUAGAAUAUUUAUAUUAUGAUUAUGUACGUGAAAAUAACAUUGUUGACAACAAGUAAGAGUUGCUACACAAUAUUCAAAAAUAAAUAUAUAU
rnacentral:lncRNA from 1 species